AAGGAAAUCGAUGAUAAGAGCUUGCAUAUAUACAAAGGAAACAACAUAUAACAACAACCAAAACUAAUACAUAUGUGGAACAUAAGAAUUAUACUAUUUGUUUUUUUACCUGGAGUACAACCAUUAUCACCAGAAUGGCCACGAAGUGAUUCCCGCUAGAAACCUUGAAUAUGUUCAGCUCAUCUGUUUCAUUGCAUUGAACUCAUCAAACACCUUAGAAAAGAAAGAUGGCAUGAUAUUUUUGCCCAACUAUGUUAACAACAUAUAUUCUGAUUCACAUUCGAUGAAACUAUUAAAUUACACCAGUACAUCAGGAGGUAGUUACUCCUGAACUAUAAAAUUCAGAAUUUAAGCUUCUAGUCCUGAAUAAAUGGAUACAGUAAACAUGUACAGAAAUUGCCAAGUUAUGUUCUCUAUUGCCCAAACACUCGCCAAGACUGCCUCAUCAAAGGAUCAAGGAGAUACUAGUAACUAGCCAAGUUAGGAGGAAUGACAGCCAUAUCUUGCUUUGUUUCUUCAGAUCCAAACACACGCUAAAGGCCUUUCUUCCGGAUAAAAACUGGUCUGUCAAGCCCUAAAAUAGUUACGCUGUAUGUCAGAUGUAGAAAUACACAUGUCACAAUUGCAAGGACAAACAUAACUGCUCCCCUCCUUAGUUUAUCGCAAAAGAUAAAUUCCCUCUCUAAUACAUAAUUAAUUAAUGGAGGCGGUAUCCCAGAAUAAUCUCAUACAUAAUGAAGAUGCACUUGUGAUGAUUUAUAAAAUGGAUUAUGUUAACCUUUGAGUCCUUCAUUUUCCAUGUACAUGGGAUUUCCCACAAUUUAUGCAUGGGCUAAAAUAUCAUACUAUUGACCACCAGAAUCAGCUCUUUCAGUCCUCAGUUUCACAGGAACAAUUUCAUCUUAUGACUGCCGUAAAAUUUCACUCUCCAACUAAGAUUUUUAAUGAGGCACUCUUCGCUACUAAUAUUAUCAAGCAUAAUCAAAUAUCUCACAAUAUCAGCAGGCAAUCAACAAGGUGGACCAUCAACAUGCAUUUUUGGAACUAGAAUGUGGCAAAGAGAAAUAUGAUCAACAACUAGGGAGUGGAAAUUAUGCUCUUCUAUUACAAAGGGAUAACAGUUAGUACUUAGUACUCCCUCCAUAGUGAUCUAAACACUCUUAUAUUUCUUUACAGAGGGAGUAGCAUCUAAGGCCUAAUAUAAAUAAAGGCUUGUGUGACUGACAGGCAAACAACAGCCAACUAAACAAUAUUUUUCUGCAAAACCUAAAUAUUGUACAAGGAACAUCUUUACAUCUCGUGUGAAAGAAACCCUAUGCACACAAGGUUAGACAAUUAAAAAUACAUAGAUUAUAUUACCGGAAGUAAAAGGAAUGCACCUUUAGUUUGAAAUGGGAUAUCUGAAAAGCCUACCUUACAGGGAGAUUCAAAAGAAUUAUCAUGGAACCUUGAUUUAAAUCUUUUCAACUUGUUGAUUGCUGGACUAUCAAGGAGAUCAAGGAGAAGAGGGUUAAGUCCUCUUGGUUUGUGGCUUGAGUCGACCAAAAAUUCAGCAAAUAUUGACAAUCGUUCUCAUUGCAGUGGAAAUAAAUCCAUCUGGAAACUGCUAGGAGCCAAGCAUUGCUCCAGACAACAUGAAACACAGAACAAAAGUUAAAUUACUCAUGUCAUCAGAUGGAUAAUCACAAUAAUUUUACUUGUGACAUUGGGGUAGAGGUGGGACGCAAAUCCUCACAAUGGCAAAGUGUUGGUAUGGCACUAGCUAAGCAUGUAAUUACUGUUGCUCCCCAAAAGCUCGAGACAUUGCCGUUCAAAUAAAUCCAAGUUGAAUUCUGUGAAGUUGGCUAAUGGCAACUAAACAAGAAAAUUACGUGAUGCAUUGUAGCUGUACUUCUGGAGUGAGCAGAGAUUUGGGAGCAUUACUGAAGAAUAUACAUGAUUCUAAAGAAUGCACACGCAAUGAAAAAGGGCUGAGAAAAACUUUGUCCUUGCCAGAAUCCGUACCAGCCUCAAGGGGACGCAGGCCUUCCACCGGCAGGAAGAUACAAUGCCCCAGGCCCGAAUCCUCUGCAGUCGAUUUCACAUGCUGAAGCCCACCCCCGAAUCAACCGAGAGCAGAAGCACAACAAUAGGGGCACUGUAAUGUGUCGCGGCAAAGCAGAGGCCCCGAUUCCUCCGCGCUGAAGCCAAGCACCGACAAGGACACCCAACGCAAAACCGCCCGCUCGCGGCCGAAACCGAUCGACCCUCGCCUCCGACCUCGAUGCUGCUGGUAGUGGAGCCCGCGAUUCCCAGAAACUGCGGGGAGGCUAGCUUGCAAUACCCACGUCCAAAAUUUCUUUUCCUCGCUACAGCAACAACAACAAAGCCUUUAGUUCCAAACAAGUUGGGGUAGGCUAGAGGUGAAACCCACAAGAUCUUGCAACCAACUCAUGCUCUAGGACAUGGAUAGCAAGCUUCCACGCACCCCUGUCCAUAGCUUGUUAUUUGGUGAUACUCUAAUCCUUCAGGUCGCUCUUAACGGACUCCUCCCAUGUCAAAUUCGGUCUACCCCGACCUCUCUUCACAUUCUCCGCAUGCUGGCCCCCGAUGUCAUAACUCCAAGGGCCUCUGGGAGCUUGACUGGUUUCACUUUCCCUUCGUUGCCACCGCCGCCAGUCUCUCCACCUCUGUUGCCUUGUCUACCAGCUCUUUUCAGCAGUGGGAUCAUCGCCUUGGUUACUUGUGUUACUCUCGUCUCUCAUCCUUAUUUCGGCAUGGUCUUCUUGAAACUUGUGAGGCCUUAAUGCUGCACUGACUCGAACCUUUGCCCUCUGUGUUUGCCUUAGGCACCCCUUGGUGAUUGUCAACCGUAUGUGGUCCUUUAGCUGAUGCAAAUCGCUUUGCUUUCCUCCAAAAGCUGAGUUGCGCUCCUCGCAACCUGGUCCUUGGGUCGUUACCGGUGACUCCAACUUGAUCUAGCAGGUGGGGGCGGGUAAGAAUAACGCUACCCUAGAAAGAAGAUAGAUGGGCAGAUUUCACCGUUUCCUUGAUGACCUUGGGCUUCGCGAGAUCAACCUCAUCAGGCGGCGCUACAGUUCGAGCAACGAGCGACAGUCACCAACGUUGGUGCAGCCAGACCGGUUGUUUUGUUCAACGAAUUGGGGGUAAUGACAUCCUAGUUGCUUUUCUGCGCGGAUACUCCAUGGCUUUAGAUUUAGCCUAUACACCACGAUUUUCACGCCUAGGGCUCACCAGUCCCACUUCAAGGAUAUCUGGAUAGAUUUUGAUGGCUUCCGCCAGGUAGUUGCUGAUGCCUAGCAUGUGUCGUCACACCUUUGCCAACUCUAGCGUUUGGGUGUCUUGCUGAAGCAUAUGGACAACACAUUGCAGCUGUGGAGCGACCGGCAUAUUGGCAGCAUCAAGCUACAACAACUCAUGGCUAAGGAAAUCAUUUUUCAGAUCAACACGGUGUAGGAGUCCCGACAGCUGUCCUAAAAGGAGUUUAAUCUGCGCAAAGAGUUGAAGCUUAAGUUGCUUGGUUUGGCCUCCCUCAAGUGCAUUAUCCCCCACCAGCCCUCCGCUUCCACUAGCUAGCCGAGGAAGACGCAAACACGUGCUACUUCUACAUCCAUGCGUGCCACUGCCACUGCAAAAAUCACAUGGUUGCCAUUGCCCGUUACAGUAUUGUCGCCCCCAUGAGGAUAAGGAGUAGAUGUUGGCAGAUUACUCGUCCAUCAUGGGUUGCGCUAUCCCUCGUAGAGUUGUUUUACCAACUCGCUUUGGAGAUCUUCAAAGAUGAGCUUGCCCUAGUCGUCCACCAGCUCUAUUUGCUUAUACCGGGUUGCCUCGUCGAGCCUGACGGUGCCCUCAUUGUCUUGGUGCUAGAGAAGAAAAACUCAAACCAUGUUGCACACUUCCACCUGAUCUGUUUGCCGCAUACCUUUGGUAGGCUUUUCUCCAAGCUGCUUUCUCUCCACGUCAUGCCUCGGCUCCCAUAACUGAUCAAGGAAAACCAGAGCUCCUUCAUGCUCACCACUAAGGGCUUGCACAUUAGACACAUCGCAACCCUCAUGCUCAAGGUUGACACAGUGAAGGCAUUCGAUUCAGUCUCAUGGCCCUUCCUCCUAUGGUCUCACGGCAAACCGGCACUGGCAGCUGAUUCAACGAGUUGGUGUGGAUGAUUCUACCAUAGACACCCUCAACAAGGUGCCCGAGAGGCAUAUUCUUCACCGUCAUGACCUAUGGCAAGGUGACCCCCUUUUGUCUUUGUUGUUUCUUCUUUAUGCUGGAGGUGCUCAACGCCUUGUUUGUGCAUGCGAAGAACACUAGAUCAUCGAAGGCACGCGUUGCCGCACCCGUCUAUUUGGAAGGUUGUAUGGUAUAGUUUUACAGAAUUUUUUAGAACCGAAAGAAGGCGUUGCAAAUUUUGGUAAAACCGAAAUAAGUCAUUGAGUUCCCUCCAAAAAAAGUCAUUGAGGGGUGCGCGCAUAGUGAAUUACAUUCCAGAAUUCAUCUUAGUGGAAGAAAAGAAACUUAAUAUGUACCAAGCACCAAUCGAGCUUCUUACCCAACAUUCAUCUAACAGCCAACUACUAAUGUCUCUUCAACAUGGUAUUCUUUAUAAAUUAAAUGAGUAUGAGUAGGAAAUAAUCAAUAUGAAUGGGAUAAUAUAUGUGAAAUAUACACUAUAACUAUCCACAUGAGCUUGAGAUAAAUUCAAGAAAGCAUUCCCAUUAAUACUAUUUGGUGGUAUUAUUUUUGUAGUAUGUCGAACAUGAAAAUAGAGAAGAGGGAAAUGCAGGAUGCACACAGUGCAAAACUAUAAUACAAGAGACCUUUAUUUUGAAAGAUGUAGCAGCUGCUCACCCGUAAAAAACAGAAAAAGGCUGAUAAUAGGACAACUAUCUUGAUAAAUUAAAGGAAACACAUGUAUAUACAUGGAUACGAAAGCAUUAGAAUAAUUGGACAUUUCUACAAAUAGGAUCCAGAUUUACCACAGUAAUAGAAAUAGAUAUGCGGGAUCAUAAUGUAGCAAAGAACAACAACAUCACUUUAGAGGAUAAAUAAGGGUGAUUGUAGAGAUGCAAGUCUUGUACUCCCUCCAUUCUGAAUUACUCGUCAGAAAAAUGGAUGUAUCUAGAUGUAUUUUAGUUCUAGAUACAUCCAUUUCUGCGACGAGUAAUUUGGAACGGAGGGAGUAUAAUUCAAUUCAGACAGGAGCAAUGGUUCUCUGAAAACACAGUACAUAUAAGUUGGAUUUGGCAAACACAAAGUCUUAUCACGUAAAUCGGUGAUAGUUGUCGCAGGCAGACGACAUCAGUAAAAUGUCCAAAAAGGGUGGUCACUGGUCACACGCAGAACGUCUCCAUUUAUUUAAUACUCCCUCCGUCCGGAAAUACUUGUCAUCAAAAUAAAUAAAAGGGGAUGUAUCUAGACAUAUUUUAGUUCUAGAUACAUCCUUUUUAUUCAUUUUGAUGACAAGUAUUUUCAGACGGAGGGAGUAGCGCCCAAAGUAGAUGAGCCAAUCUUUGCUCAAGGAGAUGAAUUUUCUUUUUUGAAGCAAAGGUCUUGAUUGUAUCAGUUGCAGAUCUGUAAAUCACGAAGAUAGGUGUUAAUAUAUAUGUGCAUCAAAAGAUAGAACCUUGAACAGGGAGUUUAGUAUAAUGUGGCUAUCUACCUUUUUUCCUUUUUCUUGUUUGUGUGCAUUACUGACAAGUGCAAUUUGGAUCAUCCGGUGUCUGUGGCUGGCUGGCAGUGGCGUUUUUUGCCCAUAAAUUUUUGAGAUAUGUUGGUGCAGUGAAGAAAUAAAGUACUUUAUAAGUUGAGAGGACUAUACUGGUGUACUAAGUAUGUGACCAUUUGCACGAGAGAUUAACAUAUCUCAGUUCUGUUGGUGCUAGCUAGUGUUCACCUGUCAUUGGAAAAGUUCAGAGAUCACAAAUAUAGUUACUUUUAGUUAUAACUUGUCGCCGACAAUUAUGAUAAUGACUCUGUAGUCGGUAAUGUGAGACCUGAUUAUAUACACUAAGUACAUGCAAUUCAGCUAAUAUAGUGAGAGAUAGUCUCGUGACUCUUAUGAAAGUUGGAAGAUAAUAGAUGGCCUCGUAAUUUAGAUGAGAAUUCUUACUCAAUAUAUGUUAUCUGGAGGUUACUUUUGUCAGGAUCCUGGGCUCAAGCAGGCAGUCAAACCUUAAAAGAGAUAUGAAAUCACUGAAACUAUUCCGACAUCUGUACAUUGAAACAUGAGCAUGAUAAUGGACCAGAAAGAUAGUAAAGCAGCAAAGUGGAGGAAACAAAGAAAUAAUUAUGCCUGCACUAAAGUAGAUUUUCCUUGCCUAUAAAGGAGUCUGUCUUUCCAACCAUAGAGGGUAGAGGUAUAAAAUCGGUGAGUGAACAUGCAUAAUCAGGAUAAUUAAUAGGGACAUAACGCUGCGACUAAACCUUCGACCAUGGAGUUAUUUUCAUGGAACUUGCUUCCACAGCCUUAUACAUGUUCUUUGCUAAUUUCACAAAGGAAUUGUUGAUGAGGAAAACAUUGCCCUCCUUGAGUUUUCCCUGAAUAGUUUUUGUAUUCAAUCACAUGUACCUCUCCAUACAUAUUGUUUCUAUAUAAGAUCAGUAUUAAACACAAGGAAGUUACAUUAUGUACAAAGAAUACACCUAAUAAGUUUUUAGUAGGCAUGUUCAUCAACAAAGACGAUGUCAAGAUGCGUUCAAUGUCCAUCUAGGGACCUCAUACAAGAGCUACGCGUGCAAGCGCAGUGACACGCCGAGGGAUGGCUUCAGAUCUGAUAGAUGCAAAUUGGCCUGAAAACCAACUCACUGAAUUCUCUUACUUCUUCCUGUUGGGAAGGGAGUUAAUCAGAAUUGGAUAUAUUUCCACAAAGAUGAGUUACCUGUGCAGAAGCCAUGGAUGAUGGUGAGCAGUCGAAGUAAAAAAAUUGCGAGUACAGUCUCCAAGAACUGCCCAAAUCAAUCGACCACAGCAAACAUGAAACACCUGUAUGUAUAGUUUUUGGAAUGAGAGAAAAUCAGGGCAAUUCAAUUGCUUGGUGGAAGAAUGAAUCAUACAUUCAUAUACUGAACUGAAAAAUAUAUAGGGAAACCUAUCCAAUCAUCAUGCGGACAGAUGUUAUGCUUGGGAGAAAACGGUGAGUGCGUGGUAGUAAGGGGGGAAGCAUAUAUAUACACGUACUUGUACCGUGAGGCAGCGGAGAGGAUGGGCACAUCACCAGCCAUGAUUGUGUGUAGAGAAACUGAAGAUUUAUUGCGUCUUCAAAUCGCUGCGGAGCAGUUUCCUCAUACCAAGAGUCAUGGCGUCAACCUCCCGCGUCCGUUGGGUCCCCUCCUUCCGCCAAGCAAUCGAGGCAUCCCCUUUACCUUCCCAAUCUCUCUCACACGAAUCCCCUUCAAAUCACAGCAUCGAAUCCCCUUAAAAUCACAGCGACCGAUGCCCUUCCCCCUUCUCUGGAAAUCGUAGCGACCGACCCCCUCUGGAGACGACCGACCUGGUUCUCUUCUGCCUGUCUAUGCUACUUUUUUUUCUUCGGCAAGGUUUGCCACCAAUCGGACAGGCUUUUGCGGGGAUAAGCAAAUUGGGCUGGGGAAAGGCCCAGUUCACCAGAAUGCAUCAAUUUUUCUUCUGGAGCAGCAGCCCUCUAGGACAGCUGGGCCAGAAAAUUUAACGUCUCCUGCAGGCCGAAACAGACAAUGCAUCCAACGGCUGAGAUUCUCUAAAUCAAGCAAAUGGACGGCCAAAAAUGCCUUAGUGCGUGAGAGGGCAGGAAAGUGGUGUAGUUGUACUGUCCUAAAUUGUCAUGUUAGAGCCAUCAUGCUGGCGUGGCGUCAGGCACCUCAUGUUAGUGUACAAUGCCGACAUGGCCGUCGUCCUGUCUUCGACGUGCGGCAACCUGAUCUUGGUGGCACGUCGAGCUUAUGCACCAACUUCGACAAGUGUUCCUUUGCACCAAUCUAUUGCAGCAUCGCCCAGAUCUAAGUGAUUAAGCUAAGCUUCGCAUGUGCUUUCCCAGUGCUCCAGUGCACCUAUCUUAGCCUCCCCUUGUGCAAGAUUCGCACGGUCCACAUGUAGCCUCUUCUAGACAAAGUUCUCAACUGCAUCCCCACUUGGAUUGGGAAUCUACUAAAACAUGGGAGGCUGGCUCAUGCUUGUCAAAUUAGUACUUCUCUCCAUCCCAGUCUAUCAAGCCAUCGCCAUGCAACUGCCUCUGUGUUCACUUGCAUUGGUCGAGAAGUACAUUCGCGUUUUCCUUUAGAGCGGGAACAACAUAGUCAGCGACGGGCAAUGCGUGGUGGCCUGGAGCAAGCUGUGCUUCAUGUGGAACUCAGUGGCUUUAGGAUCAUUAGGUACAUCUCUCAUUUGCUGGGUGGAUUCCUUGUUGAGCAGGGCACACUUCCUCAGUUCUCUUGUCCUGGUGCUCAUGCUCAGAAGGGUGUUGCUGAGUGCAAGCAGCGUCACCUUCUUGAGGCAGUUCGUGCGUUGAUGAUUGUCGCCUCUCUUCCACCUCACUUUUGGGUUGAGGUAGCUUCUACUUCUACCUAUCUCAUCGACAUUAAUCCUUCCUCUACUCUAUAGACUGACAUUCCUCCUGAGCAUCUUUUUGGUUGUUCUCUUGACUACUCAACACUUCAUUUGUUUGGUUGCAUUUGCUACAUUCUUUUUGCCCCCCACGAAUGCACCAAACUAACUACUCAGUCUGUUGAGUGUGUCUUCUUAGAUUACAAUGAUGCAAGGGCUAUCUGUGUUGGGAUCCUGUUAGUCGUCGGAUGCACAUUUCUCGGGAUGUGACUUUUGAUGAGUCUCGUCCUUUAUAUCCCUGUCCAUCCUCUCCUUUGACCUCCCCCAUUGAGGAUAUUUAUUUCCUCACUUUUUCAAAUACACCUAUCACUCAAGUAUUGCCCUCGUCCACCCAUCCCACCUUGUCUUCCCAUACUACUGUUGUAGACCCCACACCUUUGUAACUUGUGGCUUCCCCACCUCGUUCAUCACCUGAGGCUUCCCCAUUGAUUCCCCCUCAUCAUCUUCUUUACUACAUUGAUCAUCCGCGUGUUGUGAAUUCUUCUGAUGAGCCACCUCCCUCGACUAUUGUCUUCUUCUGUUGGUAAUGCACCACCUCCAGCUUAGCCUACUUAUGGCUUCCGAGCUCGCCCGCUUCUGCCUACUGACCGCUAUGGUUAUUCUAGCACCGCUCUUCUCGAGAAGACUUAUCAUGACGUUGUUGCUCAUCCUAAAUGGCAACAUGUGAUGGCAUCGGAGAUUGAUGCUCUUUCACGCAUUGGCGCGUGGGAUCUCAUUUCCCUUCCUCCUGGUGCUCAUCUCAUCACUUGUAUGUGGGUCUACAAGGUUAAGACUGAUGGUUCUCUUGAGCAUUACAAAGCUCGUCUAGUGGUGGGAACAUGGUCAUGACUACGAUGAGACAUUCCCCCCUAUGGCCCACAUGACCACUCUUCGCACACUUUUCGCUGCGGCUUCUCUUCCUGAUGACAUGGUUUGUCGUCUUUGUCGCUCUCUAUAUGGCCUUAAGCAAACCCCUCGUGUCUGGUCUGAGCGUUUCAUCUCAAUAGUGAUUGCGGCUGGUUUUUCAGCAAGUGCUCAUGAUCCUGCACUUUUUUCUACAUUUCAACUCGUGGGCGAACUCUUCUUCUAUAUGUCGAUCAUCACCGACAAUGAUUCUAAGUACAUUGCCUUUGUGAAGGCUCGUCAUAGUGAGUUUCUUAUGUCUGAUCUUGGUCCUCUUUGCUACUUUCUUGACAUUGAGGUUUCUUCUACCUUUAAUGGCUUCUUUAUUUCCCAAGAGAAGUAUAUCCAGGAUUUUCUUGCUGUAAGUGCAUCUAGUGCCACCCCUAGUUGGUUUUGGAGUAUUGACGACAAACCUAGUUGAGGGACUAAUGUGUUUGUGAGAAUUUGAAAUCUGACCGUUGAGACACGUGUCAGUUCCUUAGUGACCCAGGGUCAUUUCGGACAAAUCAGGUCGGGUUGCCAAGUGGCUAUAAAUAGCCCACCCCCUAUAACCAUAAACGGUUGGCUGCUCAGAUUGAGAGUACGGCUUUUGUCGUUUGAGAGCAACCCACCUCGAAGCCUUUGAGAGAGAAUUCCUUGCGAGGAUAAAGCCCUAACCACCAGAGCCAGAGAGAAUUGGGCAUCACUUAAGUCUUCUUGUCUGUGUGAUCUGAAGACUUAUUACACUUGAGGACUGUGCAUCCUCCAUACGGUUAGGCGUCGUGUUCAGAGCAUCCAAGAGACAUUGUGGAUUGCCAGUGAACGAAGUCUGUGAAGGUUUGGGAGUCUACCUUGAAGACUUACCAGAGUGAUUGGGCGAGGACUAUGUGACCUUAGCUCAAGGAGAAUACAGUGAGGACUUGGUGUCCUGAGCUGCGUGUUCAGGACUGGGUGUCCGGGACUGGGUGUCCUAAGGUUUAAAUACCUAGCCGCUCCAACCAGACGUACAGUUGUCACAGCAACUGGAACUGGUCCAACACAUCAUUGUUUUCAACGAGUCACUGGUUUCAUCUUCACUUCCUUUUACUUACUGAUUACUCAUUGUGAAGUCAUUGCAUGUCUGUUCUAUCUUUUGUCUUCGCAACGUGAGUGAAUGAUUUGUUUGGCUUCAUAACAUCUUCCUACCUGAUCCUUAUUACACUACAGCUAUUUGUCACUGUGCUUUCACUCUGUUGAUACUUGACCAUGGCUUGCCUAGUGUAGUCUACCUUCCGCUGCAUAGUAAUAGGCAUAUCUCUAUUGUUUGUCUUCAUAACUUCCAUGUUUUGAAGACUUUCAUAAAAAUCGCCUAUUCACCCCCCCUCUAGUCGAUAUAACGCACUUUCAAUUGGUAUCAGAGCAAGGUGCUCCCUUGUUCUGUGUGAUUCGGUUUAACCACCUGGAGUUUUAGCUAUGUCGACUGCAGGGAUAAUUAAAGUCUUCGUUGCGUGCCCCGUCUUUGAUGGAACUGAAUAUCCCUACUGGAAGAAUAAGAUGCGUAUGCAUCUUGAAGCCAUUGACGUCGACCUAUGAUAUGUCGUCGAGAAUGGCGUUCCCAAGGCUGGAGAAGGUGUUACUGUUGCUGAUGUCAAGAAAUUCAUUCAACUGGACUCUACUGCCAAGAACAUCAUCUGUGGUCAUCUGACCAAAGGACAGUAUGGCCGUGUGAGUGCUUUGAAGACAUCCAAGCUGGUCUGGGACUGGCUCUCCAAGGUCAAUGAAGGCAUCUCAACCCAGAGAGAUCAAAGAAUCAGUGUCCUUCACAAUCUCUUCAACCGCUUCAAGCGAAAUGACAAUGAGAAUGUCCAGCACACAUUUGACCGACUCACUGACAUCACAAAUGAGCUUCAAGCCCUCGGCGCCACUGAGAUUACCAAACACAAAGUCGUCAAGACGCUGCUGAGAUCACUUGAUAGUUCGUUUGACAUCCUGGCCCUGAUGAUCCAAGAACGUCCUGAUUUCAAGACACUCGAUCUGUCUGACAUACUUGAUAGGCUCAAUACACAUGAGUUUCAGCUUUCGGAGAAAAGAGAUAUCUACGGUCCAAACUAUGGGCGAACUCGUGCCUUGAAGGCAAAAGUUGUCUCCUCAUCUGAAGAAGAAUCUGAUAGCAGUUCUGAUGAUCCUGAAGACAUUGGAAGGGAACUUGCUAUGCUUGUCAAGAAGUUCCAAAAAUUCACGAAGAAGAAAGGUUUCAGAAAGUCUUCCCGAUCAAGUUCAAGGAAUGAUGAAGCUCCUGCUCAUGACUACAAGAAGAAAACAUGUCACAAGUGCAAGAAACUUGGCCACUUCAUCUCUGAGUGUCCACAGUGGGACAAUGAGAACAAAAAGAAGAAGAAGAGCAAGGAAUAUGACUCUGACGACAAGAAGAAGAAGAAGAAGAAGAAAUACUCAAAGUCUUCUUCCAAGUCUUCCUCAAAGUCUUCAUCACACAAGAAGAACUCAUCUGGCAAGGCACGUGCAUUUGUUGGCAAGGAAAUGGAUUCAGAGGAGUAGUCUGCUUCUGAGGAGGCGGAGGUGGAGUCUGAAGAGGAAUCCGACUCAGGCGUCGCAAGUCUGGCUACAGCAUACGUUGCCAAGUCCAUCUUCAACACUGAAGACAAUGACUUCAUCACCGACACCGAUGCAAAUGACAAGGACUGCUCCGCUUCUACCUACUGCUUCAUGGCACGCGGUGCCAAGGUAAACACAUGCACUACUCACUAUCAAACAUCUAGUGACGAUGACUCUGAUUGUGUUUCAAAACCUAGCUACAAAACACUUGCUAAAAUUGCAACUGAACAACAGAAAGCUAUGGAACAUAUUCAAAAACUGUUAGACAGAAGCGAUGAUCUGUUGGGUGCUGAAAUGACUCGAUCUGAAUCCUUAAUUGAAGACAUAAAAAAUCUUCACGUUAAAUAUCAGGAACUUGAAAAUCGUCAUGAAACUCUCUCAACAACUCAUGAAAAGCUUUCCUAUGAUUAUCUUCAAAGGAAGCAAGAUCUUGAGAAAUUGAGAGCGGUUCAUGAAGAUCUUCAAAUGGAAAACGAGUCACUACGCGCCAAACAGAUCAGUCCCGCUCAGGAAGGAUUUGAACCACCAUGUCUUAAAUGCAUUGAGCGUGAUAAUGCUACUUCUGUUGCUGAAUGUUCUACUGCUACUGCUGUUGCAAUAUCUUCAACUGUUGAUGCGGUAACUAACCCCUCUGUUGAGGAUACCACCGCUAUUGCUGAUGAGAAUGCUAGGUUGAAGACAUUGCUUGAAACAGGGAUGUACAAAAGUCUUCAAGGGCAUCAGACACUAUGUGAUGUCCUCAAAAAGCAGAUUCUGAACCGAAACCCUAGGAAAGAGGGUGUUGGGUUCGUAAGGAAAAUGAAUGCAGAUGGCUCUUACUGGAAACCUGAGCAGUACCCCAAAACCAUGUGGGUUGCUGCAAAGGAACCUUCAGCAGAUCCAUCCAAUCUAACUGGCUUCACUUGUGCUAACCCCAUUAUCAUUGAUGAAUCCUUUGAUGCAAACUAUAUACUGUUUAAGAAUCAGAAUGGUGAAGUGUUUGCCAGGUACAUUGGUACUAACUGCAGGAAUGGACCGCCUAUGAAGAAGAUCUGGGUUCCGAAAAAGUGUCUGGAAAAUCUUCCUAUGAAUGUCUUCAUGACACCUCACUUGAAGAAGACAAACCUCAGACCAAAGGCUUCAUACAGUCCAAAGGCUUCAUACAAACAGAGGACUCACCUGAGUCGCACUAACGCAAAUGUUUUGCCGGGAGACCAUACUCAGUCAUAUGAAUAUGAGAGCGGUUCAUCAAACCACUAUGUUCAUAAGACCAAGAACUAUGCUGCUUAUUCUUAUGAGUACUAUUGUCCACCUACAAACUGUUUGCUAAGGCUUCAAAGCCAAAAUUCUCAAAUGAUGCACUUAGACUUAUUGCUUCUAAGACACCCUUGAAGAUGUGGGUGGUUAAGAAGGCUUAACUCUCUUUUGCAGGGAAUGGUCUUCAGCAGAAAACCAAAAUCGUCUGACGCUAUUGUUAGGGACCUUAAACAUCUUGUAGGGCGCAAGAUCAAAUGCCCAAAUGGUCUUACUAUGUACUUCGUACCUGAAUCGCUUGCCACUCUCCCUAUUAGUCCUAACCUGGAUCUAAGCUUUCAUAACCCACUGGUUCGUCAAAUGUUUUUGCUUCACAAUGCUCUUGGUGAAGCCUAUCCCCCUAACUGCACUGUAGGGUACGACACCAGCGUCUUCAGAAUGGAUUAUUGACAGUGGGUGUACAAAUCACAUGACUGGAAAAAGAAGUCUUCUUAUGGACUCAACCUUAUGUCCAUCCGACAAGAGUCACAUCACAUUUGCUGACACUGGUAAAAGUAAGGUAUUGGGUCUAGGUAGAGUUGCAAUCUCAAGGGAUCAACACAUGGAUAAAGUCAUGCUUGUUGAAUCCCUUGGCUUCAACUUAAUGUCUGUCUCAAUGCUUUGUGAUUUGAACAUGAUCGUAAUGUUUGGAAAAUAUCGUUGCCUUGUACUAAUGGAAUCUGACAAGUCUCUAGUGUUUGAAGGGUAUCGAAAAGAUGAUCUGUACGUGGUAGAUUUCUCAGCAGGGCCACAGCUUGCAGUAUGUCUUCUAGCAAAGGCUUCAGAAUGCUGGCUAUGGCAUCGGAGGCUUGGACAUGCUGGCAUGAGGAACCUCCACACCCUCGCGAAGAAGAAGCAUGUCAUAGGCAUCGAGGGCGUCAAGUUCAAGAAAGACCAUUUAUGCGGUGCCUGUGAAGCAGGGAAAAUGACAAGGGCCAAACAUCCCUCGAAGACAAUCAUGACUACUACUCAACCCUUCGAACGGCUCCACAUGGAUCUUUUCGGUCCCACUCAUUACUCAACUCUAACUACUACUGCUUGCCUCUAUGGCUUCGUUAUUGUUGAUGAUUAUUCUAGAUAUACUUGGGUGCACAUAAUCCUUUACAAGACUGAAGUGCAGGAUGUCUUCAGACGCUUCGCCAAUCGUGGUAUGAACAAUUUUGGCGCCAAGAUAAAGCACAUCAGAAGUGACAAUGGCACUGAAUUCAAGAACACUGGCCUUGAUACAUAUCUUGAUACCUUGGGCAUCACACAUGAACUCUCAGCCCCGUACACGCCACAGCAGAAUGGCGUCGUCGAACGCAAGAACAGAACACUAAUUGAGAUGGCCAGAACAAUGCUAGAUGAAUACAAGACUCCAAGAAAAUUCUGGCCUGAAGCCAUUGAUACUGCAUGUCAUACAAUCAAUCGUGUUUAUCUUCACAAGCUACUGAACAAGACAUCUUAUGAGCUCCUUACUGGCAAAAAGCCAAAUGUCAGUUACUUCAGAGUAUUUGGCGCAAGGUGCUGGAUCAAGGACCCACAUCACACCUCAAAAUUUGCACCAAAAGCACAUGAGGGUUUUAUGCUUGGAUAUGGAAAGGAUUCACACUCCUACAGAGUCUUCAAUCUCUUUCAUUACAAAGUGGUUGAAACAGUGGAUGUGUGGUUCGAUGAGACCAACGGAUCACAAAGAGAGCAGCUGCCAAGUGUGCUAGAUGAAGUUCCAUCCAGUGAAUCAAUCAAGCUAAUGGGAACUGGAGAGAUUAUACCUUCUGAAGCUCAUCCUGAAGAAGAACUUAUCAUUUCAGCACCUGAUCAACAUGAAGACAUUGCUCAGCCUGAAGACACUCCUUUCAACAACGACAGUGAACAGCAAGAGCAAAGUCUUCGCCCUGUAUAUCCUCGCAUUGCCAAAGAAGUGCAGAUUGAAAGAAUAAUUGAUAACAUCAAUGCACCUGGUCCACUCACUCGUUCAAGGGCAACUCAGCUAGCAAAUUUCUGUGGGCACUUCGCAUUCGUCUCAAUAUUAGAACCCAAGAAAGUUGAAGAAGCCUUCAUGGAACCUGAAUGGAUUCAAGCUAUGCAAGAAGAGCUUCAACAGUUUGAGCUGAAUAAUGUAUGGGAACUGGUUAAGCGUCCUGAUCCACGGAAGCACAACAUAAUAGGCACCAAAUGGAUAUACCGCAACAAGCAAGAUGAGCAUGGUCAAGUUGUCAGAAACAAAGCUCGUCUCGUUGCUCAAGGAUAUACUCAAGUGGAAGGCAUUGACUUCAAUGAAACAUUUGCUCCUGUGGCUAGGCUUGAAGCCAUACGCAUACUGAUGGCCUAUGCAAAUCAUCAUAACAUACUUCUAUAUCAAAUGGAUGUGAAGAGUGCCUUUCUCAAUGGCAAGAUUGAAGAAGAAGUGUAUGUUGCACAACCACCUGGCUUUGAAAAUCCAAAACAUCCUGACAUGGUAUACAAGCUCAGCAAGGCACUGUAUGGCCUCAAACAAGCCCCUAGGGCCUGGUAUGACACACUCAAAUACUUCCUGAAGAGCAAAGGCUUCAUACCUGGUUCCCUAGAUCCCACUCUUUUCACGAAGACAUAUGAUGGUGAACUGUUUGUAUGCCAAAUAUAUGUGGAUGACAUUAUCUUCGGCUGCACCAAUCAGAAGUACAGUGAAGAGUUUGGAUAUAUGAUGCAAGAGCAAUAUCAGAUGUCCAUGAUGGGGGAGCUGAAGUUCUUCCUUGGUCUUCAAAUACGACAACAACACAAUGGCAUCUUCAUAUAUCAAGAGAAGUAUCUCAAAGAUUGCCUGAAGAAGUUCGGUAUGCAAGACUGCAAAGGCUUCACAACACCAAUGCCAGCCAAACAUCAUUUGGGUCCUGACGACAAUGGUAAAGAGUUCGAUCAAAAGGUAUACCGCUCCAUGAUUGGUUCUUUGCUUUAUUUAUGUGCAUCUAGGCCAGAUAUUAUGCUUAGUGUUUGCAUGUGUGCUCGAUUUCAAGCGGCACCAAAGGAGUCGCAUCACUUAGCUGUGAAGCGAAUUCUUCGAUAUUUGGCUCACACCCCAACUCUAGGAUUAUGGUAUCCAAAGGGCUCAGAGUUUGAUUUGGUUGGAUUCUCGGAUGCUGAUUAUGCUGGUGACAAAGUUGAUCGCAAGUCUACAUCAGGCACAUGUCACUUUCUGGGACGAUCACUUGUAUGUUGGUCUUCAAAGAAGCAGAACUGUGUAUCUCUCUCCACUGCUGAAUUUGAAUACAUUGCUGCUGGAUCUUGCUGCGCUCAACUUCUGUGGAUGAAGCAAACACUCAAGGACUAUGGCAUUCAUCUGAAGCAAGUGCCACUUUACUGCGACAACGAAAGCGCCAUCAGGAUUUCCAACAACUCAGUUCAGCACUCGAAGACAAAGCACAUUGAAAUUUGUCAUCACUUUCUCAGAGAUCAUGUUGUGAAGGAAGACAUUGAUAUCAUACACGUCAACACUGAAGAGCAAUUGGCAGAUAUCUUCACCAAGCCCUUGGAUGAGAAGAGGUUUUGCAAGUUACGGUGUGAGCUAAAUAUCCUAGAAUCCUCAAAUGUCCUGUGAUCAGGCACACAUCCUAACCCUUAUGCAUAUUGAUGACUUAGAUGUGCAACACAUGAAGUAAAGUAUAUCUUCAAUCAAUGAAGACAUACAUUCUAAGUGUGAAUACAUUAAUGUGGAAUUUGACUUCGGAGCGCCACGAUAAUUGUGCGCCGUGCCUGGGUCUAAUACUUCCUAUACGGUGGGUAACGCCACCACCAAACGUUCUAUUUUGAAGUGUUUCACUCAUGGCGUUACCUUGCAAUGUCUUCAUAUUUGGUUUGGCUUCAAUCUCAACAUGUCUUCAUGAUUAUCUUCACUACGUUGAUUAUAUAGAUAUAUAUAUAUAUAUACUAGUGUUCUGUCCUCUACAUCAUUCACUAUAGCUAUGUCUUCUUGUUUGAAUCUUUUGAACUAAGUGAAUGUGAUCAGACCCUAACCUCUCUAUGCUCUCUAUCUCAAAAUUCUAUCUCUCCAAGUCAUAUGCAUUCUAUUGAAACUGUCGAAUGUCUUCUCUGCGUCCUUGUCAGCAGAAGACACAGAGACAACAUUUAAGUCCGUUUUCAAUGCUCAUUUAUCCACAUGAAAUCCGAAGAAGUAGGAACGACCACCCGACAAUCCAGGCAUGCGUGGGAGGUGGAACUGCCCCCAAAAUACUUCAUGAUGGCCACGUAUUACUCAAAUGCGAAUCUCCAGGGGCACGUGUGUAAUAGCGCAGUGCCGCCCCUGUGCCUAUAAAUACACACUCACAGCGGUAACUAUCUCUUCUUCCACCCUCGCACGAACCCUAGCGCCACCGCUAGCUCUCGACGACGCCGGCGACGAAGCGCUUCGCUGCCGCAACCUCUCCGACGCCGUCUUCAUGCCGACCGCGGACAACGUCCUCUCCGCCGUCGCCGUAGGUCUCCUCCAUCGCCAAGUUAGGGCACGGACGAGUGAACUGCUCGGCCUCAUCUCUCCUCCGUCUAGCAGUUCUCAGUGUGGUAAAUAAAACUGCCUUUUUACAGCACCGUUGAUCCUAUUGAUCUGUCACUUUCUACCACAAGAAGUUUCUGUUCACACAAGCUAGAUCUCUCUCAAAUUGCAUCUCAUAACAUGCCUAGUUUAUUCACUUGUGCUUCACAAAGUAGUUAGAUUCCUCACUUGUACUGAUCUGUGGAUUCGUACAAAUCUGGAACCAACUUCUUAUCUAUGAGUGAAUGUCUUCGCACGAUGAGGUCAAUGUCUUCUAAACUGAUUUAUCUUCAAAAUCUUCUGAGAAUGCAUAUGACCUCUUCCCCUUCCCUUGCACCUUAAUGUUGUCACAGGUACAUGUCCGUGGGAGAAUCCUUUGGUUCUCAUAGUCUGCAUUCAUUUGCAGAAUUCUUACAACAUCACAUAAAUUCUCCUGAAGCCAGUUCCUGUUGGUCCAGUAAAAGAAAGCCUUUGAAGCCUUUGAACGUCUUGAAGCCUUCCAAGUUAAGGUUUAUGGCUUCAGAAACAGCAGCAAGGAAGGGGGGGGGCAGACAGCGACGUGGAGGAACAUCCAAAGAUCUGCCUGAUGAACUGGCAGAAAUGUAUAAAACAGAUCCUGAAGAGAAUUAUGGUCAGCGCAAGACCCGAAUCCAAUGGAUUCGACGCUAUUGGGCAGAACAAUGGUUCAAAUACCGCUUCACAACCCAAGAGUAUGCUGAGAAAAGUGCCAUAAAAAGACCGUGGGGAGACAUCUUAUACAAGAGUCUUAUACCCAGGUCCAGAGAUGAAGCUAUUGCCCAAAGCUUCUAUCCAUGCAUGGUCCGUGGGCCACAGCCUGAUGAUGCACAUCCGUCGUCACUACUCUGGUGUCGUGACGACAAUCUGUUCAAGCGCAACUUCCAGUUUGCCCAAAACUCAGUGAAGCAGAACAAGAAGAAAUUUGGGUUAGACUUCAACCCUGGUCCCUCAGCACCAAGGGCAGAUGGCACACGAGAAGCAGAACCCAAUGUCAUCGGCCCGUAUGCCAACCUUGAAGGCCUCAUCACCUACAUCUUGGUUCAAGGGACUGCAGUGAAUGAGCCUGCAGCUGACACUGAGUCUGAUGAAGCGCCUGCAGUGCCUGCAGUGCCGAGGCUGAAGCAGUUGAAGAAGCCAAAAGCUUCAAAGCUAGCCCCUUCACCAAAAAUCUCAAAGGCGAAGCCAUUGGCGACUGCACCUCCUGAAGACAGUGUGCAGUCUAAAGACUUAUCACGCGUCUCAAGGCACCAGAAGGCCAAGAUGCCUCUGUCUCACACUAGCAAAGAGCUCACAGCUGCUGCCAUCCUGCGUAGUGAAGCCAUUGAUCUGUCAAGUGAUGAAGAUCUUGGAGAUGACGCUCUUGAGCAACUCAUCAAGAGCAAAGAAGAAGCAGAAAUCUUCAACAAUUUGCCUCUCUUUGAUGUCACCAUCAUCCACAACUUCAUUGACGAGUGGUUUGCCACACCAAACAUCAGCUUUGAAGAUCUACAGCUGCCCGUUGGCCUCAGCGUCGCCUUCCAAGGCACUAUUGCUUCAGAACUUGCUAUUGCCCAGCACAUUGUUGAACUGAAGCAGAAAAUUGAUCAUGAAAAGGCUCAGUUCAAGAAGCAUAUGGCCAAGCUCAGCGUGUAAGAAGUAAAGAGCUUCAAGAUCAUGUUGCAUGAGCUAAAGGAAAACUUUCUGAAGAAGCGUGCAGAAGCUCAGGGUUCACGUGAGCGGAUGAAGACUCUGGCUGACAGAUGUGUGCAAGCCUACAAUGAGGCUGAGAAGCGCAAGGCACUUGGGCGUCCUGGCAUCGACCCCAAGAUGGCCGCAAAGAAAAAGAAGAAGACUGUUCCAGCUGAACCAGAGGCACCAAGGCAGGAAGCAGUUCCGCUUGUCUUCCCAACUGCAAUGACUGGCUCGAAGCCAAAGAGCCGGUCAACCGCUUCAGAGCUCAAGAAGACGAGAACUGCAGAGGCUGAAGCCCAGAAGAGGAAACACUCUGAAGCCUCUCCUACUACCCCCAGCAAGAAAAAGAGAAAUACCAAGAAAGCUCGGGCUGCUCCCACAGAGCCCUUGAUAGUUGAACCCAUUUCUAUGGUUCACCCUGACGCAGAACGUCAACUGACAGUUCAUGAGCCUGCUUCCACAGAGGCUCCUGAAGCUGAAGACAUUCCAGCAGCUGACCCCAUCGCUGCUGAAGACAUUGGUCAUCGUGACAAUGUAGAAGAUGAUGUAGCCCUUCCUCAGUUAGAACACAGCGAACUCAUCAGCAUUGGUCGUCCACUGACGCCAAUUGCACAGGAUGCUUCAUGGGCGGAUCGCCCUCAAGAGGAAGAAGACUAUGAGGCCCAGCCCACUCCAACCCCACAGGCGUCGUCUGCGUUCCGCAGGCUUCGCAAAGGUCCAAGGCCUCAAGUCUAUGCUGAAGACAUUCCGACUGCAUCAGCCGCAGAAGAAGCACCACAAGAGCCCACUCCUCUGCUCCACCAAGAAGCAGUUCUCCAGGAGAACGUGCUUGUGACCGACCCUCCAGCUAGUCAAGCAGAGGAUGAAAAUCUUGAGGCUGCCACAACCAACAACGAAGCUAAUGUGGAGCCCUCCCCAGCAAAAGCUUCAGAAGACAGCGAAGCCACUGAACCCACAACUUCCGUUCCUGAGUCUGCUGCAGGUCCACAAUUCAACUACCAUGUUCAGCACAGGCCUCAGGUUCAGAAGCCAAUCCCAAGAAUGCCAAGGUUUCCAGGUCCUGCAUCAGCACCUGGUUCCUUCAACAUCAAUAGCUUCAGGGCAGAUAAUACUUUCUUCAAUAGCUCCAAGAACCCCUAUUCAAGGGAAAGGAUUUCAUCAGAUAGGUUCUGGAGCUAUCCUCAGCGCAGCUACUACUCUUGCAUACUGUACAACCAAGGUCGCAUUUUCCCGCACAAGCGCCUUGAUGUUGAAGCUAUUGAUGGUCUGCCCUGUCUAGAGGAAGCGUUGGAUUGCUUCAAACAAGUGGGUCUUCUACAGUUUGUUACUGAUGAAGAGCAUUGGAACGAAGAGCUCCUGCUACAAUUCUAUGCCACACUGCACAUCGAAGGAUACAACAGAGAUCCGAAGACUUGGGUCCUGGAGUGGAUGACCGGCAACGUUCAUCAUGAAGCCAAUGCAUUUGAUAUCAUUGAGCUCACUGGCCUGCCCACUCCAGGCGAAUUCUUCGAGCAAGGCUGUCGGCUACACACUGAAGCUAUUGAGAGCAUAUUUCAGAGGACUGAACCGAAUAUGAGUCAGAUGCUCUCCAUGAUGAAGCCAUUGCCCCACGAUGCUCCUUAUCCCACAGAGUUCUUCGUUGAAGACCUUGAGUACCUGCCCAGGACCAUCUAUCACAUCAUCCGGCGCACUCUCUGGCCCAUUAAAGGACACUCUCCAAAUACCAAGAUCGAGGGUGCAAUGAAGACUCUGAUAUUCUGUAUCCUUCAUGGCAAAUGCUUCAACGCACAGGAUUUCUUCAUACGCCAACUAGCUGCAUCAGGCUCAGAUCUGUUGGGUUUAAAGUUCUAUGCUCCUUGGGUAAUGAAGCUGAUCAAACUUCACUCUGCCAUCUCAUAUCAGCCCUCAGCCCGCAACCAUCGGAUCUUCUUGCCUGAUGUGGAUACCUCUGCUGAAGCCAUCUAUCCUGAACCUGCCAAGCAACCUCUGAGUCUUCAGAAUGCAGAACACCAGAGCUUCACUCAAAACGUUGAAGGUGUUGAAGCCAUCUCCAGGGUGUAUCCUUUGGCUGGCACUACACGUGCACCACACCCUGCUUCAACUGAAGCCACUGACAGUGCCACUGCUUCAAGACCCAAGAAGCACACUCGUGUUCUCAACGACCGAGAGCUUCUUGUGGCCCUUCAUCAAAAGCAGGAUAGGCAUCAUGACUGGUUGAAGAGACAGAUGAAAAGCCUCUUGGUGGAUGUAAAUCGCAUCCGAAAUCUUGCCACCAAGAACGCUUUCAUUGCCCAUGAAACCUGUCGCCGCACAUGGAAAGGGCUAACGAUUAUGCUUUCUGAAGCUGAUCUUCAAGAGGAUGGCUUCACUGAGAGAUUCAAGUUUGACUCCACACCUCCUCGAAGAGCUGUGCUGCUGGGAACUCCAUCCCUUGAAGACUCCGAGUUUUCUUCCUUUGCUGCCACAGUCACUGCCAGAAUCAUUGAGGAAGAAGACGAUGCUACUUCACCACCAUCUGCUUCAGCACCUCCAAGCUCUUCUGCACCGCCAAACAACAUCAACAACCCUGCUACUUCAUCUACUCCUCAUGGGAACGAGUAGAGGCUCUAUGUCUUCAAACCUUUUUGGUCAUUACUGACAAAAGGGGGAGAAGCAUAUGAGAUUGAUAGUCUUCAAGCAAGUUCAUAUGGGCGGGUGCCUUAUAUUUUGCUUCGUGCUUACAACUCUCGUUUUUGCUACAUUUGGUUCUUAUGAGUUGUAACACUUAAACCAGAUGGUCGUCUGCUACUUGUUUGCCACCCUGUUUUGCGAAGAUAAAUUCCGCAUGUGCGACGAUAAAUUCCGCACUUAUCUCAUUCUGCAGACGUCCAUUUUCCAUUAUGCAUGUCAUUAUCUUCAUAUACUUUCACAUGCAUAGUGGAUUGUCAUCAUAAGCUGAAGUGGAUCUCCACAAGUACAACCUGCCAUGUGCAUUUGCAUUCCAAAAGCAAAUUAACUUAUAUGCACAUCUUCAGGGGGAGCCCUUGCAACUUAUGAAGACAAUUCCUUAUCCUUUACAAUUUCACAGACUAUAUUCCCCGUUGGAAACUUCAACUAGUUUGUCAUCAAUCACCAAAAAGGGGGAGAUUGUAAGUGCAUCUAGUGCCACCCCUAGUUGGUUUUGGAGUAUUGACGACAAACCUAGUUGAGGGACUAAUGUGUUUGUGAGAAUUGCAGGAUAACACAGGUAGAAGUCCCUCAUUGAUUCGGUUUUACUACCAGAGAUGACCCCUAAAAAUGUAUGAAGACAUUGAAGUCAAAGGUGGUAUAUGAAGAUAUUCACAUUGAAGACUAUGACAAGAGAAGACACGAUAUGAAGCCUAUGGAGCUCGAAGACUUAGAUCUUUCGUAGUUCUUUUUCUUUUGUGUUGAGUCAUAGGAACCACCGUACUAUUAAGUGGGGUCCAGGAGAACCAGUCAGAAUGACUGAAGUGAUGCCUAAACCAAAAACCUAUGUCUUCGAGUGAAGACAAUGAGAGCGAAUCUUGUCCAGAGCCGGACAAGUCAGCUUUGCUUGUAGCCCAAGUAAAGUUGCCAUGAGAGUUUGAAAUCUGACCGUUGAGACACGUGCCAGUUCCUUAGUGACCCAGGGUCAUUUCGGACAAAUCAGGUCGGGUUGCCAAGUGGCUAUAAAUAGCCCACCCCCUACAACCAUAAACGGUUGGCUGCUCAGAUUGAGAGUACGGCUUUUGUCGUUUGAGAGCAACCCACCUCGAAGCCUUUGAGAGAGAAUUCCUUGCGAGGAUAAAGCCCUAACCACCAGAGCCAGAGAGAAUUGGGCAUCACUUAAGUCUUCUUGUCUGUGUGAUCUGAAGACUUAUUACACUUGAGGACUGUGCAUCCUCCAGACGGUUAGGCGUCGCGUUCAGAGCAUCCAAGAGACAUUGUGGAUUGCCAGUGAAUGAAGUCUGUGAAGGUUUGGGAGUCUACCUUGAAGACUUACCAGAGUGAUUGGGCGAGGACUAUGUGACCUUAGCUCAAGGAGAAUACGGUGAGGACUUGGUGUCCUGAGCUGCGUGUUCAAGACUGGGUGUCCGGGACUGUGUGUCCUAAGGUUUAAAUACCUAGUCGCUCCAACCAGACGUACAGUUGUCACAGCAACUAGAACUGGUCCAACACAUCAUUGUUUUCAACGAGUCACUGGUUUCAUCUUCACUUCCUUUUACUUACUGAUUACUCAUUGUGAAGUCAUUGCAUGUCUGUUCUAUCUUUUGUCUUCACAACGUGAGUGAAUGAUAUGUUUGGCUUCAUAACAUCUUCCUACCUGAUCCUUAUUACACUACAGCUAUUUGUCACUGUGCUUUCACUCUUUUGAUACUUGACCAUGGCUUGCCUAGUGUAGUCUACCUUCCGCUGCAUAGUAAUAGGCAUAUCUCUACUGUUUGUCUUCAUAACUUCCACGUUUUGAAGACUUUCAUAAAAAUCGCCUAUUCACCCCCCCUCUAGUCGAUAUAACGCACUUUCACUUACUCUUACUGAUGAGCGCACUAUUAAGACUCCUAUGAAGCUCAAAGUCCACCUUUGUAUCCACCUCCGCUCCCUACCAGUCCGCAUCUUGUCUUCCCUUGUUAGGCGGCCGCAUCACCGCACACUCGGGCACCACCAUCAGUGAGCAGGAGCACGAGCAAGCGUCAUUUCGACCUUGUUCAGUCUGAUGUCUGGGGUCCAUCUCCCUUUGCCUUGGAAGGAGGUCAUCACUAGUAUAUUAUCUUUAUAGAUGAUUUCUCUGAACACACAUGGAUAUAUUUUAUUUCUUCCAGGCCUGGGCCCAUGGGCGUGCAGUUCGUGCGACGGAACAUGGCCAAUUUCCAUGGGCCAUGAAAUUCCUAGCACAAGGCAGCCCAUAGCAAGCAGCAACCAGCAGGCCUGCUACUCGAUAUCCAGCAUGGGCUCGUAAGCCGCCCCGCUAGCACUAGCGUGUCUAGCCGUCCAGGCUGCAUAGAGUCUCCCAUGGAGCCCAGGCAUCGAGCAAUCAAGGCAUCGAGCCAUCGAGGACAUCAGGUCGAGUGGACAAGUCCUCUUCAACGCCGCCUCCUGCCCUCAUCUCUUGUAUGUUCGUCUCAUCUCCUCUUUUUCCAAUACGACGCUUCAAGCUCGGCAAUCCUCCAUUGGUCCAUCCCCAUCCAAUUCAGCAUGUGACGCUUCUACCAGCUGUCGGCCAUCGAUCCGUGAGUUCCGCAGAUCGCAUUCCAUCUAGCAAUUUUGAUUUAUGCCAAUAGCUUGUUGUUAGUUCUGUUAUUUUACAUCUUUUCUAUACAUGUUUCAAGAUCCAAGUCAUGUCUUCUCAGGAUAAAUAACAUGAAUCCGGUUACCAAAAGCGUUUGAAAAAAACCCAGAGAAGUUAGGUCGAUUACAGAAAGGAGCCAUGGAUAAGUUUGUUCCAAAAGAACCACGUGUGUCCUCUAAUAAUCAGUCAUGGGAUCAAGGCCUCACGGUUGAUAAUAAUGUUGACCCUGAUGUUGACAAUGAUCAUAGAGAUGAACAAGCAGAGAAAGAAGAUAAUGAUGAGGUUGAUGAUGAUCUUAUUGGUAACACAAACAGUGAUAUGGAUAAUAAUGGUGAUGACAUCGGGACAACUGGUAUUGAUGUUAACUCAAAUACUUCACCUGUUACAGAUGUCGGUGCUUCUUUUCAUGUUGAUAUAUUUGAUCCAAGAAAUUGGGGUUCUCUUGACCCUAAGCAUAUUGACAUUUUAGCACAAAAGGGCCCUAAAAGAGACUCACAAUUUAAGAAAGGUCCUAAGGAUAGAUAUUCUAGCAGGUUUUCUGCACUAUUCUAUACUAGAAUUAUGCCACAUGGGGAGCAUUGUGAUAGAGAUUGGCUUGUCUAUUCUAAGGACCUCAAUCGACUAUUUUGCUUUGGUUGUAAAUUAUUUACAAAAGAGCAUAGAAAAGGUCAGUUGGCAAACGAGGGGUGUGAUGAUUGAAUACAUCUUGGCAGUACACUUAAAGAGCAUGAGACAAGUUUAGAUCAUGUUUUGAAUAUGACCACUUGGUAUGAGCUCUGUACUACCAGAUUGCAAAAGCAUCAAACUAUUGAUAAAGAUGCUCAAGGACAACUUGAGAAUGAAAAGGAGCACUGGAGAAAAAAUUUGUUCGAAAUUGUUUGCAUUAUUAAAUUUCUUGCCAAGCAUAAUCUAGCCUUUCGUGGUAGUAACGGCAAACUGUAUGAAGACAGCAAUGGGAAUUUCUUGGGUCCGGUAGAGAUGUUGGCUGAAUUUAACACAGUUAUUCAAGAGCAUGAUUGUCGUAUUACAAAUGAAGAAACUCAUGCUCAUCAUCUUGAUCAUAAGAUUUAGAAUGAGUUGAUACAGUUGCUUGCUUCAGCUAUUAGGUUUGAGAUUGUUAAGAAAAUAAAGAGUGCAAAAUAUUUCUCGGUCACACUUGAUUGUACCCUGAUGCAAGCCACCAAGAACAGAUAUCUUCAAUUGUUAGGUAUGUGGAUUCAUCUUCAAGUCAUGUUUGUGUAGAAGAACCCUUUCUAGGAUUUUUAGAUGUAUAAAUGGUACGACUAGGCAAGGACUUUUAGAAGUGCUAGAGAAUGAACUUAAGCUUCUUGAUCUUGAUAUAGAUAAUGUGAGAGGACAAGGGUAUGAUAAUGGUCAGAUAUGAAAGGAAAACAUCAUGGGGUACAAAGGAGAGUUUUGAAUGUAAAUCCUAGAGCUAUCUAUUUUGGUUGUGGUUGUCAUAGCCAUAAUUUAACACUUUGUGAUACCAUCCAACACAUAGAUAGGAGUGACGCUCAAGUUAGUAUCAGCUACACAUUGGGAGAGUUGUGUGUGUUAAAGCCAUCAGAUUUCAAUGUGAAGCCAUUUGGGAGGCUAUACUUUAGGUACCAAAAAAAUUUAUAUUGAUUAUUAUGUAAUUCCUUUGGCUAUCUCCAACUAUAACAUAUAUUUCCUAUCUUUUCAUUUUAGGUAUCCGAAACUGAUAAUGAUAUAAAACGAGCAGCGAGGCAAAAGGUUUGGCAAAUAAUGAACCUGGGAGUAUGAAUUUAUAGUGGCAAUGGUAAUUUGGUCUGAGGUAUUAUAUGUUGUUAAUUUAGUAAGCAAACACUUGCAAGCAAAGGAUAUGCUUAUAGAUGUUUCUAUUGAGAAAGUGAAAGGGUUGAUUAUUUUUUCGAAGGGUAUAGAGAAAGUGGCUAGUUAGAAGCAUUGGAGAUAGCCAAAAAAAAUUGCACUUGAUAUGAUUAUUAGUACAACAUUUCAUGAAAGACGAGAAAUUAAGAGGAAGAGACAUUUUGAUGAGAACCCAGAUGACAAAAAUGUUGCCACACAGUCUGUAGAGGAAUCAUUUAGAAACAGUUAUUUUACAACUAUUGUUGAUCAAGCAAUUAUGUCACUUACAAGCAGAUUUGAACAAUAUGAGGUUAGCAGAAAGAUUUUCGUUUCUUAUUUACUUCCAAAUCAUUGCAGUCAUUGGAUAAUGAGAGCUUGAAAUCUUCUUGUGAUAAUCUUGAGGCGGCCCUUAAAAAAGAUAGCAAAUCUGACAUUGAUGCCAAUGAACUGCAGUGGAGUUGAGGUUACUUAAAGACUCCAUUCCAAAGGAUGAUAUGGGGCCAAUUGAAAUUCUAAAGUUUUUAAAGUGACAUGAUUGUUUUCCCAAUGCAGGUAUUGCAUACAUAGUUCUAUUGACAAUUCAUGUGACUGUUCCAUUAGCAGAAAGAAGCUUUUCAAAAUUAAAGCUAUUGAAGUCCUAUAUGUGUACUACAAUGACACAACAAAGGGUUACUGAUUUGGCCACAAUAGCACUUGAGAGUGAAGUGUUGGAGAACAUUGAUUACGAGGAUAUAAUUGAAGAUUUUAAUUCAAAGAACACUAAAAGAAUGUUGUUAUUCAAGUAAAGACUAUGCAACCAAGCUUCGAAUAGGUAUGAUUCUUGAAUAUAUUCCUUGCUAUGUAAGACAUUAUGAUAUAUACACUACACCUGUUUAAUUCUCUAUUGUUGGAUGAGUUUCCCACAGGGACUCUCAUUUUGCCGGCCUGACCCUGAUUUCUCCCAUAGUGAGGUCUUAUCUAUAUAUAAGCAUUUUGUUGCCAUGGUUCACACUCAGUUCUCUACGCCUAUUCGCGUGUUCUAUGCUGACUCUGCUGGAGAAUAUAUAUAGAUGACUUAUCUUGACACACAUUGAUAUGCUUUAUUUCUCCCCGUAGUGAGGUCAUAUCUAGAUAUGUCUUUUGCUGCCAUGGUUCACACUCUGUUCACUACGCCUAUUCAUGUGUUCUAUGCUGACUUUGCUCGAGAAUAUAUCUCCAAGCUAUUACAUGUAGUCCUUACUGAGCAAGGUAAUCUUGCACGAGUCUCUUGUCCUAGUGCACAUGCUCAGAAUGGCGAUGGUGUGGUUGAGUGCAAGCAUCGUCACCUUCUUGAGACGGCUGGUCCGUUGAUAGUCACUACUUCUCUUCCGCCGCACUUUUGAGUCGAAUCUAUCUCCACUUCCAUCUAUCACAUCAAUCUUCAGCAAUCCACUGCUCUGAAGGGGUGGCACUCCUUUCAAGCGUCUAUUUGAUUGUUUCCUGAUUAUUCGGCACUUCAAUUGUCUGGUUAUGUUUGCUAUGUCCUUCUUGCCGCACAUGAAUGCACCAAACUAACUGCUCAGUCUAUAGAGUGUCUCUUGUUAGGAUACAACGAUGAGCACAUGGGAUAUCAUUGUUGGGAUCAUGUUGGUCCUCAGAUGCCUAUUUCUCGGGAUAUGACUUUUGAUGAGUCUCUUCCUUCUACCUUUGUCCAUCUUCCUCGACCUUUCCGAUUUGGCAAAAAAACAAAAAGAUAGAGAAAAACAAAUAAAUAUGAAACUAAAAAACUAGUUGGAACGAUCCCCAAUCUGCGACCGCUUCUAGAAAAUUGAGUGAUUCUUCGUAUCAUGAUGCUUCUUCGUCGACCUCUUCCAUUGAGCCCUAGACUACGCUAGAGAUUACAGGACGUUAGUGUCUGGUAGCUGCUUCUUUUGGUUCUCCAUCGACAGGUUUUCAAGGUUUUGCUACUUACUGUAAUGGUACCAAGAGACCACUUUACAAUAUCAGGUACACCUCCAUGUAUCCUUGGUCAUACAACUUAUGAUUCUUCCAAUUUGUCCUCCAAUCCACCUCCAGAUUCUCCUAUUCAUGUUCUUACUGCCGAUGGUACUUCCCUCCCAGUAGAUAGUAAAGGCACUCUUUGGUACUUUGACUACACUCGUGGUCCGCAUGUUGUGGAUUCUUAUGAUGAGCCAUCUCCCUCGACCAUUAUAUCUUCUUUUGUUGGCAACACACUUCCUCCAGCUCACCCUACUUAUGGCUUUCCAGCUCGCCCGCUUCUGCCUAUUGACCGCUAAGGUUACAGUGCAGCUCUUCCUGAGACGACUUCUUACCGCGAGGUCGUUCAUAUCAAAUGGCUGCAUGUGAUGGCAUCGAAGAUUGAUGCUCUUGCCCGCAUCGGCAUGUGGAAUCUCACUUCCCUUCCUCCUCGUGCUUGUCUCAUCACUUGUAAGUGGGUCUACAAGGUUAAGACUGAUGAUACUCUUGAGUGUUAGAAAGCUUGUUUAGUAGUAAGAACAUGGUCAUGACUACGAUGAGACAUUUGCUCCUAUAUAUAUAUGGCCCACACGACCACUCUUCGCACACUUCUCAAUAUGGCUUCUAUUCGCCGCUAGUCUAUCUCUCAGCUUGAUGUCAAGAAUGCCUACAAGUAGCCACCACCUGGGUUCUCUUCCUAAUGGCAUGGUCUGUUGUCUUCGUCACUGUCUAUAUGGCCCUAAGCAAACCCCUCGUGCCUGGUUUGAGCCCUUCGUCUCAGUGGUGAUUGCGGCUGGUUUUUGGCGAGUGCUCAUGAUCCUGCACUUUCAGUCCACCAUUAAACUCAUGGUCGAACACUUCGUCUACAUGUCAAUCAUGAUGACUCUUAAGUACAUUGCUCGUGAAGGCUUGUCAUGGUGAAUUUCGUAUGUCUGAUCUUGAUCCUCUUCGCGACUUCCUUGAGAUUGUUCAUUAUUGCCAAAGAAAAGUAUAUCCAGGAUCUUGCUCGUGCUGCACUUACUAAUGAGCACACUGUUGAGACUCAUGUGGAGUCAACGUCCACCUUUGUGCCCACCUUCGCUCCAUGUCAAUCUUGAUGGGCAUCAUUUGCCUUGUUGUGGGUUGCUAUGAGCACUGUCUCAAUCUUACAUCCCGUGUUCCCUUGUUGCGCGACACCAUACCAAGAGCUCGAAUAGUUGACGCGUACCUGGAUUAUGCACGAGACAAGCCGCUACCUAAAGCCAGGACCAAGGGCGCAUAGUAGAACAUGGGGUGCUUAAUCAAGUGCAUGGCACACAACCCGCAAACAGGAGAAGAACACCAAGCCAAAUCGGUAGGGUACAGAGAGUGCAUAGGCACGUGGGAUGCCGGAUCAAGUCCCUUUGCUGCUAUCGCUGCCGGUCUUAGACUCUGUUGCCUUGCCUACCCGCUAUUUUCAGCACUCGCAUCAUCGCCUUGGGUCACCUGCGUCCAUCUUCCUCGACCUUUUCAAUGGAGGAAAUCUUUUUUUUUAAAUCCAACACUCCUAUUACUCCCUUAUCCAUUCGUUGUACUGCUCCUGCUUCUCCGAUAAUUGCAGAUCCAAUGCCAUCAUCUCCUAUGAUUUUCUCACCUCGCUUAUCACAGGAUUCUACACCUUCAUCAGUUGUGGCUUCCUUGUCUCCAUCACCUAAGUUUAUCCCGAUGAUUUUUGCUCUUAUUCUUCCAUCUUUUCCUCACUUUUAUAUACAUAGUCCGCGUUUUGUGAAUGUGUCUACUGAUGUGCCACUUCCCCUCCUAGCCUACUUAUGUCUUGCUUCCUCGUUCGCUUCCGCCUGUUAACCGCUUUGGUCUUCAAAGCGUUCGCGCUGAUGUUCUUGAGCUGACUUCUUAUCAUGAUGUUAUUCAUACCAAAUGGCUCCUUGCGAUGGCAGAGGUGAUUGUUGCUCCUUCAAUAUAUCAUGCUCCUUUGGGCUCAUUCAAUAGUCUGGAAGAUUAGGAAGACUUGCUCCCGGAAUUAAGUCAAUUCUAUGUUGAAUUCCUCUCACCGGUGGCAAGCCUUAUGGCUAACCUUAAAAAAAAGCCUUGUGGCUCUCCAAGUAUGUUCUGAAAUUCUGCCAAUAAACCACAUACCUUUGCUGGAAUUUCAACAGUCGGGCGCUCUUCUCGUUUUACAACAAGUGCAACACACAAAUCUACCUCCUUCAAGCCUUCCAUAAACUCAUGAGAGGUAUGGGAGAUAGUUAACAUAGUUUUCCCUUCCUCCUUAGAGGUAUUACCUUCAGUUUUGUUUGGUAAGAUAAUGAUCUUUCUCUUGUUCCAAAUGAAAGAGUAAGAGUUUUCCUUGCCCUUGUGUGUAGUAUCCACAUCAAAUUGCCAAGGUCUCCCAAGAAGAACAUGGCUAGCGUCCAUAUCAACUAUGUCAUACAACACAUUUGAGCGAUAAUGCUUGCCCAAGGGAAGUGGCAAGUUGCAUUUUUUGGUGAUCCUCAUAUGCACUCCUUUCUUGAUCCACCCAAUAGUGUAGGGGUUUGGAUGAUCAUGAGUAUCAAGCUUUAAAUGGCUCACCAACUUCUGGGGGAUAAGAUUCUCGCAGCUGCAACUAUCAAUCACUAACUUGCAUACCAUUCACUGUGCAUUUGUUCUCAAAUAUUUUCUUCCUUUGUUUGUCGUCAGGUUGUGGUGUGGAGCAUAGGAGACGCUGAAUCACACAUACCACCUCUUCACCUUCUUCUUGACAAACUUCUUGUCCCUCUACAUCUUCAGAUUCAUAUUCUUCCUCAUCGCCUUCACCAUCAUGGAUAGUUGUGUUAACAAAUUUCCUUAGUGGGCAACCGCUGGAUAUGUGUCCCCCUUCACCACAUUUAUAGCAUUUUGGGCCUUCAUUGGACUUACCCUUGCCUCUAGUUUACUUCUGGAUGGGUCAUUUUGCCUUUGGUGGAGCGGUCUUUUCUUCCACUAUUAGGCUGACUCCUAGACAUGCCUUCGGUAUGAGGAUAUGGAGGAUAUGGAGCCUUAGUUGCCUUUCUUGUCCUCACAAACCUCUCGGCUUUUAAGGCUAGAGCUUGUGCUUGAUCAACGGACCAGAUUUGUUGCAGCAUCAUCGAUCUUGAAUAGCAUCAUUGAGACCAUUGAUGUACCUUGCAAUUUGUUGAUCUUCAGUUUCAGCAAGGUUGCACCUCACUUGUAGCCUUAGAAACUCCUCCGUAUAAUCUGAAAUAGUCCUAUUUCCUUGAGCACAAUUUUGAAAUUGGAUAAAUAGGAUCUGGUCAUAAUCAGCAGGCAAAAAUCUCCUUUCAAGAGACUUUUCAUUUUCCACCAAGUUCUCACACGAGGUUCUCCUCUCAUCCUGCGCUCUUCUUGAACGCGAUGCCACCAUGCACCGACUCCUCCUUUCAGCUUGUAUGCGACCAAAGGGACUCUAUGAUCUUCCGAAACCUCCAUGACCUCAAAGAAAGUCUCCACUUCAUAUAACCAAUCUAGGCACCCUUCAAUAUCAACAUUUCCAUUAAAAGUUGGGAUGUCAGCUUUCACCUUGUAUGUAUCCCUUGCAUAUGUAGGGUUGGGUACUCUCCGAUAUGCAUAGAGAUCAGCUUCUUCAAGGGCUUCAUCAUAUUCUUCACCUUCAGAAGUUCCAACAUAAAUUGGCCUUCUUGAAGCAUGUUGAACAACACGUUGUUGUGGCGGUCUUGCUCCAAGAUUACAUCUCCUUAUUUGAUGAACAUCUUCUUCUUUAGAUGAAUCUCCUUCAUUGGUAGCAGGGGGAACACCCUUUCUUAUCAUCUCAACCAGCUGGUCAAGUCUCCGAUUAAGAUCUUCACGCAGCUCUUUGAUUUGUUGUUCUGCAGCAUCCAUCCUCUUCUCCAAUUGCUCCAUUACUUGCUGCAGCUUGCUCUCGAAGAGGACAGCAAGAACUAUAGUAUGGGUCAACAAGGCUCUGAUGCCACCUGAAGCAGCACAAAGAUUGUGGAGGAGCAACUCCACCUUGCUGCUACAAUGUGUACAACACAAGUGUUAAAGGAACAACUUCAACGUGUUGUGCUAGAUAUCGCUCUAGAGGAGAAUGUAGGCCGAUACGGCAGCAAGAGUUCAGUCCAGAACUCCUAGGGCACAAGAUCUACUCCAAGAUCUUAGAUAAGAACAAGUUCUAUUACAGGUAGUGGGUACAUAGUCUGGUACAAAGUAGGUGAGGACCUCUAUUUAUAGGGCUACGGGAAGCCUUCACAUACUUCUACUUAUAGCUGGAAUACUCUAGAAAACAUUAUGUAAGUUUCACCAUUCUACUCAUAGCUACUCACAACUAGAAGACUCUAGAAAACAGUAGGUAGGGUAGAAAAGAAAACAAAAGAAAUACUACACUAGAGUGGAAGCAUCUAGAAAUAGUCAAACAAAUCUGACAUACAUUUUUUUCCUCACCAGAUAUUGUUUCUCUUCCUCCUCAUGUUCGUCCCAUCACUUGGUGGGUAUGUUAUGACUCACUUUGACUUUUUAUAUGUUUCUUCUUUUGCUCAUGUAACUCGACUCACUACACUCAUGGUCAGCAUGUUGUGGAUUCUUCUGAUAAGCCAUCUCCCUCGACUAUUAUAUGUUCUUUCGUUGGCAACGCACCGCCUCCAGCUUAGCCUACUUAUGGAUUUCGAGCUCGCCUUCUUCUACCAAUUGACCGCUAUGGUUACUACGCAGCUCUUCUCAAGACGACUUCUUGCCAUGAGGUUGUUCAUCCCAAAUGGAUGCAUGUGAUGGCAUCGAAGAUUGAUGCUCUUGCCCGAAUCGGAACGUGGAAUCUUAUUUCCCUUCCUCCAUGUGCUCAUCUCAUCACUUGUAAGUGGGUCUACAAGCUUAAAACUGAUGAUACUCUUGAGCAUUACAAAGCUCCUUUAGUGGUGAGAACAUGGUCAUGACUACGAAGAGACAUUUGCUCCUAUAUAUAUGGCCCACGUGAUCACUCUUCGCACACUUCUCAAUGUGGCUUCUAUUCACUGCUAUUCUAUCUCUCAACCUGAUGUCAAGAAUGCCUACAAGUAGCCACCACCUAGGUUCUCUUCCUAAUCGCAUGGUUUGUCGUCUUCGUCGCUGUCUAUAUGGCCCUAAGCAAACCCCUCGUGCCUGGUUUGAGCGCUUCGUCUCAAUGGUGAUUGCGGCUAGUUCUUGGCGACUGCUCAUUAUCCUACACUUUUGGUCCACCAUUCAACUCAUGAUUGAACACAUCUUCUACAUGUCAAUCAUCACUAGCAACGACUCUAAGUACAUUGCCUUGGUGAAGGCUCGUCAUAGUGAAUUUCUUAUGUCCGCACGGUUGAGACUCCUAAGGAGUCAACGUCCACCUUUGUGACCACCUCCGCUCCCUACCUAGAUGGGCAUCCUUUGCCUUGUUGCGGGUUGCUAUGAGCACUAUUUCAAUGCCACAUCCCGUGUUCCCUUUUUGUGUGACACCAUAAUCGCACACUCGAGCACCACCAAUGGUGAGCAGGAGCUCGGACAGUCGACGCGUACCUGGAUUAUGCACGGGACGAGCCAAGGACAACCCACAAACAGGAAAAGAACACCCAGCCAGAUCGGCGGGGUACGAAGAAGCAAAUGGAUGCCGGAUAAAGUCCCUCUACUGCCAGUGCCGCCAGUCUCUGCCUCUGUUGCCUUGUCUACCAGAUAUUUUCAAGAGCGGCAUCAUUGCCUUGCGUCACUUGUGAUCUCUCAUCCUUAGUUCGACGUGAUAUUCUUGGCGAGUGCUCAUUAUCCAAAACUUUCAGUCCACCAUUCAACCCAUGAUCGAACACUUCUCCUACAAGUCGAUCAUCUCUGGCAACGACUCUAAGUACAUUGCCUUGGUGAAGGCUCGUGGUCGAACACUUCUACAAGUCGAUCAUCACUGCCACCAGGAUCAUCACUAGCAACGUCUACCUUUGUGACCACCUUCGCUCCCUACCAGUCUUGAUGGGCAUCCUUUGCCUUUCUGCGGGUUGCUCCAAGCACUGUCUCAAUCCCACAUCUUGUGUUCCCUUUAUGUGUGACACCAUAACCACACGCUUGAGCACCACCAAUGGUGAGGGGGAGCUCGGACAGUCAACGCGUACCUGGAUUAUGCACGAGACAAGCGCUACCAAAAGUCAAGGCCAAGGGCGCACAGUAGGAUAACCCGAGGUGCUUAAUCAAACACGUGGCACACAACCCGCAAACAGGAAAGGAACACCUAGCCAGAUCGGCGGGGUACGAAGAGUGCACAGGCAAGUGGGAUGCCGGAUCAAGUCCCUGUAUUUCUAGUGCCGCCAGUCUCUGCCUCUGUUGCCUUGUCUACCAGAUAUUUUCAAGAGUGGCAUCAUCACCUUGGGUCACUUGUGAUCUCUCAUCCUUAGUUUGACGUGGUCUUCUUGGAUCAAUCUCUGAUGAUGUCUCUAAUACGUGGUCCAGUUACCUCAUCUCUCAUCCUUGUUCACUCUGAUCUCGAGGGAUCUUCUCCCUUUGCGUCCGCUAGUGACUUCUCUCAACACACCUGGAUAUAUACUUUAUUUCUUCUCGUAUUGAGGUCUUAUCUAUAAGUCUUUUGCAGCCAUGGUUCACACUCAAUUCUCUACGCCUAUUCAUGUGUUCUAUGGUGGCUCUGGUGGAGAGUAUAUCUCCAAGCUGUUGCAUGGAAUCCUUGUUGAGCAGACUUUGAUUCUCUUAUCCUGGUGCUCAUGCUCAAAAUGGCGUGGCCGAGCGCAAGCAUCGUCACCUUCUUAAGACGGCUCCUCCAUUGAUGGUCACCGCCUCUCUUUCACCACACUUUUGGGCCGAGUAUGUCUCCACUUCCAUCUAAUCAACCUUCAGCAAAGCAAUCCAUUGCUCUACAGGGUGGCGCUCCUUUCGACCGUCUAUUUGAUUCUUUCCUGAUUAUUCAACGCUUCAAUUGUUUGGUUGUGUUUGUUAUGUCCUUGCCCACGUGAACGCACUAAACUGACUGCUCAGUCCGUUGAGUGUGUCUUCUUAGGAUACAACGAUGAGCAUAAGGGAUCAUGUUGGGUGUCAGAUGCCUAUUUCUCGAGAUAUGACUUUUGAUGAGUCUCAUCCCUUCUACUCGCGUCCAUCUUCCUUGACGUUUUCAAUGGAGAUCUUUUUUUUAAUCCAACCCUCUUGUCACUCCCUUACCAUUCAUUGUACUUCUCAUGCUUCUCCCAUAAUUGCAGAUCCAAUUAAAGGAAAUAUGCCCUAGAGGCAAUAAUAAAGUUAUUAUUUAUUUCCUUAUAUCAUGAUAAAUGUUUAUUAUUCAUGCUAGAAUUGUAUUAACCGAAAACAUAAUACAUGUGUGAAUACAUAGACAAACAGAGUGUCACUAGUAUGCCUCUACUUGACUAGCUCGUUAAUCAAAGAUGGUUAUGUUUCCUAACCAUGGACAAAGAGUUGUUAUUUGAUUAACGGGAUCACAUCAUUAGGUGAAUGAUCUGAUUGACAUGACCCAUUCCAUUAGCUUAGCACCCGAUCGUUUAGUAUGUUGCUAUUGCUUUCUUCAUGACUUAUACAUGUUCCUAUGACUAUGAGAUUAUGCAACUCCCGCUUGCCGGAGGAACACUUUGUGUGCUACCAAACGUCACAACGUAAAUGGGUGAUUAUAAAGGUGCUCUACAGGUGUCUCCAAAGGUACAUGUUGGGUUGGCGUAUUUCGAGAUUAGGAUUUGUCACUCCGAUUGUCGGAGAGGUAUCUCUAGGCCCUCUCGGUAAUGCACAUCACAUAAGCCUUGCAAGCAUUGCAACUAAUGAGUUAGUUGCAAGAUGAUGUAUUACGGAACGAGUAAAGAGACUUGCCGGUAACGAGAUUGAACUAGGUAUUGAGGUACCGACGAUCGAAUCUCGGGCAAGUAACAUACCGAUGACAAAGGGAACAACGUAUGUUGUUAUGUGGUCUGACCGAUAAAGAUCUUCGUAGAAUAUGUAGGAGCCAAUAUGAGCAUCCAAGUUCCGCUAUUGGUUAUUGACCGGAGACGUGUCUCGGUCAUGUCUACAUUGUUCUCGAACCCGUAGGGUCCGCACGCUUAAGGUUUCGAUGAUAGUUAUAUUAUGAGUUUAUGAGUUUUGAUGUACCGAAGGAGUUCGGAGUCCCGGAUGACAUCGGGGACAUGACGAGGAGUCUCGAAAUGGUCGAGCCGUAAAGAUCGAUAUAUUGGACGACUAUAUUCGGACAUCGGAAAGGUUCCGAGUGAUUCGGGUAUUUUUCGGAGUACUGGGUAGUUACGGGAGAAGCAAUGGGCCUUGAUGGGCUUUAGUGGGAAGAGGAGAAAGGGCCAAGGGGCUGCUGCGCCCCCCUCCCCUCUGGUCCGAAUUGGACUAGGGAAAAGGGGGCCGGCCACCUUUCCUUCUCCUCCACUUCCUUCUCCCUUCCUCCCCUCUUGGUGGACUCCUACUAGGACUUGGAAUCCUAGUAGGACUCCACAUCUUGGCCGCACCAAUUGCCUUGGCUGGCCUCCUCCUCCUCCAUCCUUUAUAUACUGAGACAAGGGGCACCCCAUAGACACAAGUUGAUUUUCGUGAUCGUUCCUUAGCCGUGUGCGGUGCCCCCCUCCAUCAUAUUCCACAUCGGUCAUAUUGUAGCGGUGCUUAGGCGAAGCCCUGUGACGGUCGGACAUCAAGAUCGUCACCACGCCGUCGUGCUGACGGAACUCCUCCCCGACGCUUUGCUGGAUCAGAGCCCGGGGAUCGUCAUCGAGCUGAACGUGUGCUAGAACUCGGAGGUGCCGUAGUUUCGGUGCUUGAUCGGUCGGGCCGUGGAGACGUACGACUACAUCAACCAAACGCUUCCGUUGUCGAUCUACAAGGAUACGUAGAUCACACUCUCCCCUCUCGUUGCUAUGCAUCACCAUGCUCUUGCGUGUGCGUAGGAAUUUUUUUGAAAUUACUACGUUCCCCAACAGUGGCAUCCGAGCUUAGGUUUUAUAUGUUGAUGUUAUAUGCACGAGUAGAACACAAGUGAGUUGUGGGCGAUAUAAGUCAUACUGCUUACCAGCAUGUCAUACUUUGGUUCGACGGUAUUGUUGGACGAAGCGGCCCGGACCAACAUUACGCGUACGCUUACGCGAGACCGGUUCUCCCGACGUGCUUUGCACAGAGGUGGCUUGCGGGUGACAGUUUCUCCAACUUUAGUUGAACCGAGUGUGGCUACGCCCGGUCCUUGCGAAGGUUAAAACAACACCAACUUGACAAACUAUCGUUGUGGUUUUGAUGCGUAGGUAAGAUUGGUUCUUGCUUAAGCCCGUAGCAGCCACAUAAAACUUGCAACAACAAAGUAGAGGACGUCUAACUUGUUUUUGCAGGGCAUGUUGUGAUGUGAUAUGGUCAAGACAUGAUGCUAAAUUUUAUUGUAUGAGAUGAUCAUGUUUUGUAACCGAGUUAUCGGCAACUGGCAGGAGCCAUAUGGUUGUCACUUUAUUGUAUGCAAUGCAAUCGCGCUGUAAUGCUUUACUUUAUCACUAAGCAGUAGCGAUAGUCGUGGAAGCAUAAGAUUGGCGAGACGACAACGAUGCUACGAUGGAGAUCAAGGUGUCGCGCCGGUGACGAUGAUGAUCAUGACGGUGCUUCGGAGAUGGAGAUCACAAGCACAAGAUGAUGAUGGCCAUAUCAUAUCACUUAUAUUGAUUGCAUGUGAUGUUUAUCUUUUAUGCAUCUUAUCUUGCUUUGAUUGACAGUAGCAUUAUAAGAUGAUCUCUCACUAAUUAUCAAGAAGUGUUCUCCCUGAGUAUGCACCGUUGCGAAAGUUCUUCGUGCUGAGACACCACGUGAUGAUCGGGUGUGAUAGGCUCUACGUUCAAAUACAACGGGUGCAAAACAGUUGCACACGCGGAAUACUCAGGUUAUACUUGACGAGCCAAGCAUAUACAGAUAUGGCCUCGGAACACGGAGACCGAAAGGUCGAGCGUGAAUCAUAUAGUAGAUAUGAUCAACAUAGUGAUGUUCACCAAUGAAACUACUCCAUCUCACGUGAUGAUCGGACAUGGUUUAGUUGAUUUGGAUCACGUGAUCACUUAGAGGAUUAGAGGGAUGUCUAUCUAAGUGGAAGUUCUUAAGUGAUAUGAUUAAUUUAACUUUAAUUUAUCAUGAACCUAGUCCUGGUAGUAUUAGCAUAUCUAUGUUGUAGAUCAAUAGCUCGCGUUGUUGCUUUCAUAUGUUUAUUUUGAUAUGUUCCUAGAGAAAAAUUGUGUUGAAAGAUGUUAGUAGCAAUGAUGCGGAUUGGAUCCGUGAUCUGAGGUUUAUCCUCAUUGCUGCACAGAAGAAUUAUGUCCUUGAUGCACCGCUAGGUGACAGACCUAUUGCAGGAGCAGAUGCAGACGUUAUGAACGUUUGGCUAGCUCAAUAUGAUGACUACUUGAUAGUUUAGUGCACCAUGCUUAACGGCUUAUAAUCGGGACUUCAAAGACGUUUUGAACAUCAUGGACCAUAUGAGAUGUUCCAGGAGUUGAAGUUAAUAUUUCAAGCAAAUACCCGAGUUGAGAGAUAUGAAGUCUCCAACAAGUUCUAUAGCUAAAAGAUGGAGGAGAAUCGCUCAACUAGUGAGCAUGUGCUCAGAUUGUCUGGGUACUACAAUCGCUUGAAUCAAGUGGAAGUUAAUCUUCCAGAUAAGGUAGUGAUUGACAGAAUUCUCUAGUCACCAUCACCAAGUUAGUAGAACUUCGCGAUGAACUAUAAUAUGCAAGGGAUAACGGAAACAAUUCCCAAGCUCUUCGUGAUGCUGAAAUGACGAAGGUAGAAAUCAAGAAAAACAUCAAGUGUUGAUGGUUAACAAGACCACUAGUUUCAAGAAAAGGGCAAAGGAAAGAAGGGGAACUUCAAGAAGAAUAGCAAGCAAGUUGCUGCUCAAGUGAAGAAGCCCAAGUCUGGUCCUAAGCCUGAGACUAAGUGCUUCUACUGCAAAGGGACUGGUCACUGGAAGCGGAACUACCCCAAGUGAUUGGCAGAUAAGAAGGAUGGCAAAGUGAACAUAAGUAUAUUUGAUAUACAUGUUAUUGAUGUGUACUUUACUAGUGUUUAUAGCAACCCCUAAGUAUUUGAUACUAGUUCAGUUGCUAAGAUUAGUAACUCAAAACGGGAGUUGCAGAAUGAACAGAGACUAGUUAAGGGUGAAGUGACGAUGUGUGUUGGAAGUGGUUCCAAGAUUGAUAUGAUCAUCAUCGCACACUCCCUAUACUUUCGGGAUUAGUGUUGAACCUAAAUAAGUGUUAUUUGGUGUUUGCGUUGAGCAUGAAUAUGAUUUGAUCAUGUUUAUUGUAAUACGGUUAUAUUUAAGUAAAAGAAUAAAUUGUUCUUCUGUUUACAUGAAUAAAACCUUAUAUGGUUACACACCCAAUGAAAAUAGUUCAUUGGAUCUCGAUCGUAGUGAUACACAUAUUCAUAAUAUUGAAACCAAAAGAUGCGAAGUUAAUAAUGAUAGUGCAAGUUAUUUGUGGCACUACCAUUUAGGUCAUAUUGGUGUAAAGCGCAUGAAGAAACUCCAUGCUGAUGGGAUUUUGGAAUCACUUGAUUAUGAAUCACUUGGUGCUUGCGAACCAUGCCUUAUGGGCAAGAUGACUAAAGACUCCGUUCUCCUGAACAAUGGAGCGAGCAACUGACUUAUUGGAAAUAAUACAUACUGAUGUAUGCGAUCCGAUGAGUGUUGAAGCUCGCGGCAAGUAUCAUUAUUUUCUGACCUUCACAGAUGAUUUGAGCAGAUAUGGGUAUAUCUACUUGAUGAAACGCAAGUCUGAAACAUUUGAAAAGUUCAAAGAAUUUCAGAGUGAAGUGGAGAAUCAUCGUAACAAGAAAAUAAAAAAAUUCUACGAUAUGAUCGCAGAGGUAAAAUAUUUGAGUUACGAGUUUGGCCUUCAGUUAAAACAAUGUGAAAUAGUUUCACUACUCACGCCACCUGGAACACCACAAUGUAAUGGUGUGUCCGAACGUCAUAACCGUACUUUAUUAGAUAUGGUGCGACCUAUGAUGCUUCUUACCGAUUUACCACUAUCGUUUUGUGGUUAUGCAUUAAAGACAACUGCAUUCACGUUUAAAAGGGCACCAUCUAAGUCCGUUGAGACGACACAAUCUGAACUAUGGUUUGGCAAGAAACCAAAGUUGUCGUUUCUUAAAGUUUGGGAUUGUGAUGCUUAUAUGAAAAGGUUUCAUCCUGAUAAGCUCAAAACCAAAUCGGAGAAAUAUGUAUUCAUAGGUUACCCAAAGGAAACUGUUGGGUACACCUUCUAUCACAGAUCCAAAGGCAAGACAUCCGUUGCUAAGAAUGGAUCCUUUCCAGAGAAGGAGUUUCUCUCGAAAGAAGUGAGUGGGAGGAAAGUAGAAAACUUGAUAAGGUAAUUGUACCUUCUCCCUUAUUGGAAAGUAGUUCAUCACAAAAUCUGUUCUUGUGACUACUACACCAGUUAGUGAGGAAGCUAAUGAUGAUGAUCAUGAAACUUCAGAACAAGAUACUACUGAACCUCGUAGAUCAACCAGAGUGAGAUCCGCGCCAGAGUGGUACAGUAAUCCUGUUCUGGAAGUCAUGCUACUAGAUCAUGAUGAACCUACGAUCUAUGAGGAAGCGAUGAUGAGCCCAGAUUCCGCGAAAUGGUUUGAGGCCAUGAAAUCUGAGAUAUGAUCCAUGUAUGAGAACAAAGUUUGGACUUUGGUUGACUUGCCCGAUGAUCGACAAGCAAUAGAAAAUAAAUGGAUCUUCAAGAGGAAGACAGACGCUAAUAGUAGUGUUACUAUCUACAAAGCUAGACUUGUCGAAAAAUGUUUUUGACAAAGUUCAAGGUGUUGACUACGAUGAAAUUUUCUCACUCGUAGCGAUGCUUAAGUCUGUCCAAAUCAUGUUAGCAAUUGCCGCAAUUUUAUGAAAUCUGGCAAAUGGAUAAACAAAACUACAUUCCUUAAUGGAUUUAAAGAAGAGUUGUAUAUGAUACAACCAGAAGGUUUUGUCAAUCCUAAAGGUGCUAACAAAAUAUGCAAGCUCCAGCGAUCCAUCUAUGGACUGGUGCAAGCAUCUCGGAGUUGGACUAUACGCUUUGAUAAGUUGAUCAAAGCAUAUAGUUUUAUACAGACUUGCGGUGAAGCCUGUAUUUACAAGAAAGUGAGUGGGAGCACUACAGCAUUUCUGAUAAGUAUAUGUGAAUGACAUAUUGUUGAUCGGAAAUAAUGUAGAAUUAUUCUGUAAAGCAUAAAGGAGUGUUUAAAAGGAAUUUUUCAAAGAAAGACUUCGGUGAAGCUGCUUACAUAUUGAGCAUCAAGAUUUAUAGAGAUAGAUCAAGACGCUUGAUAAGUUUUUUCAAUGAGUACAUACCUUGACAAGAUUUUGAAGUAGUUCAAAAUGGAACAGUCAAAGAAAGAAUUCUUUCCUGUGUUACAAGGUGUGAAGUUGAGUAAGACUCAAAGCCCGACCACGGCAGAAAAUAGAAUGAGAAUAAAAGUCAUUCCCUAUGCCUUGGCCAUAGGUUCUAUAAAGUAUGCCAUGCUGUGUACCAGAUCUAUUGUAUACCCUACACUGAUUUUGGCAAGGGAGUACAAUAGUGAUCUAGGAGUAAAUCACUGGACAGCGGUCAAAAUUAUCCUUAGUGGAAUAAGGAUAUGUUUCUCGAUUAUGGACAUGACAAAAAGGAUUCGUCGUAAAGGGUUACGUCGAUGCAAGUUUUGACACUGAUCCAGAUGACUCUAAGUCUCAAUCUGGAUACAUAUUGAAAGUGGGAGCAAUUAGCUAGAGUAGCUCUGUGCAGAGCAUUGUUGACAUGGAAAUUUUCAAAAUACAUACGGAUCUGAAUGUGGCAGACCCGUUGACUAAACUUCUCUCACAAGCAAAACAUGAUCACACCUUAGUACUCUUUGGGUGUUAAUCACAUAGCGAUGUGAACUAGAUUACUGACUCUAGUAAACCCUUUGGGUGUUGAUCACAUAUCGAUGUGAACUAUGGGUGUUAAUCACAUGGUGAUGUGAACUAUUGUUGUUAAACCACAUGGUGAUGUGAACUAGAUUAUUGACUCUAGUGCAAGUGGGAGACUGAAGGAAAUAUGCCCUAGAGGCAAUAAUAAAGUUAUUAUUUAUUUCCUUAUAUCAUGAUAAAUGUUUAUUAUUCAUGCUAGAAUUGUAUUAACCGAAAACAUAAUACAUGUGUGAAUACAUAGACAAACAGAGUGUCACUAGUAUGCCUCUACUUGACUAGCUCGUUAAUCAAAGAUGGUUAUGUUUCCUAACCAUGGACAAAGAGUUGUUAUUUGAUUAACGGGAUCACAUCAUUAGGUGAAUGAUCUGAUUGACAUGACCCAUUCCAUUAGCUUAGCACCUGAUCAUUUAGUAUGUUGCUAUUGCUUUCUUCAUGACUUAUACAUGUUCUUAUGACUAUGAGAUUAUGCAACUCCCGUUUGCCGGAGGAACACUUUGUGUGCUACCAAACGUCACAACGUAAAUGGGUGAUUAUAAAGGUGCUCUAUAGGUGUCUCCAAAGGUACAUGUUGGGUUGGCGUAUUUCGAGAUUAGGAUUUGUCACUCCGAUUGUCGGAGAGGUAUCUCUAGGCCCUCUCGGUAAUGCACAUCACAUAAGCCUUGCAAGCAUUGCAACUAAUGAGUUAGUUGCGAGAUGAUGUAUUACGGAACGAGUAAAGAGACUUGCCGGUAACGAGAUUGAACUAGGUAUUGAGGUACCGACGAUCGAAUCUCGGGCAAGUAACAUACCGAUGACAAAGGGAACAACGUAUGUUGUUAUGUGGUCUGACCGAUAAAGAUCUUCGUAGAAUAUGUAGGAGUCAAUAUGAGCAUCCAGGUUCCGCUAUUGGUUAUUGACCGGAGACGUGUCUCGGUCAUGUAUAUAUUGUUCUCGAACCCGUAGGGUCCGCACGCUUAAGGUUUCGAUGACAGUUAUAUUAUGAGUUUAUGAGUUUUGAUGUACCGAAGGAGUUCGGAGUCCCGUAUGAGAUCGGGGACAUGACAAGGAGUCUCGAAAUGGUCGAGACGUAAAGAUCGAUAUAUUGGACGACUAUAUUCGGACAUCGGAAAGGUUCCGAGUGAUUCGGGUAUUUUUCGGAGUACCGGGUAGUUACGGGAGAAGCAAUGGGCCUUGAUGGGCUUUAGUGGGAAGAGGAGAAAGGGCCAAGGGGCUGCUGCGCCCCCUCCCCUCUGGUCCGAAUUGGACUAGGGAAAAGGGGGCCGGCCACCUUUCCUUCUCCUCCACUUCCUUCUCCCUUCCUCCCCUCUUGGUGGACUCCUACUAGGACUUGGAAUCCUAGUAGGACUCCACAUCCUGGCCACACCAAUUGCCUUGGCCGGCCUCCUCCUCCUCCAUCCUUUAUAUACUGAGGCAAGGGGCACCCCAUAGACACAAGUUGAUCUUCGUGAUCGUUCCUUAGCCGUGUGCGGUGCCCCCCUCCACCAUAUUCCACCUCGGUCAUAUUGUAGCGGUGCUUAGGCGAAGCCCUGCGAUGGUAGAACAUCAAGAUCGUCAACACGCCGUCGUGCUGACGGAACUCCUCCCCAACGCUUUGCUGGAUCGGAGCCCGGGGAUCGUCAUCGAGCUGAACGUGUGCUAGAACUCGGAGGUGCCGUAGUUUCGGUGCUUGAUCGGUCGGGCCGUGGAGACGUAUGACUACAUUAACCAAACGCUUCCGUUGUCGAUCUACAAGGGUACGUAGAUCACACUCUCCCCUCUCAUUGCUAUGCAUCACCAUGAUCUUGCGUGUGCGUAGGAAUUUUUUUGAAAUUACUACGUUCCCCAACACCAAUGUCAUCAUCUCCUAUGAUUUCCUCACCUCGCUUAUCACAGGAUUCUACACCUUCAUCAGUUUUGGCUUCCUUGUCUCCAUCACCUGAGUUUAUCCCGAUGAUUUCUGCUCGUAUUCUGCCAUCUUUUCCUCACUUCUAUAUACAUCGUCCGCAUGUUGUAAAUGUGUCUACUGAUGUGCCACUUCCCCUCUCGUCCUACUUAUGGCUUGCUUCCUCGUCCACUUCCGCCUUUUAACCGCCUUGGUCUUCCAAGAGUUGGCACUCGUGUUCUUGAGCCGACUUCUUAUCGUGAUGUUAUUCAUACCAAAUGGCAUCUUGCGAUGGCAGAGAAGAUUGUUGAUCUUGAGCACAUCGGCACGUGUGAUAUUGUUUCUCUUCCUCCUCUUGUUCGUCCCAUCACUUGGUGGGAAUGUUAUGACUCACUUUGACUUUUUAUAUGUUCCUUCUUUUGCUCAUGUUCCUCGACUUUACUACACUCAUGGUCCGCGUGUUGUGGAUUCUUCUGAUAAGCCAUCUCCCUCGACUAUUAUAUCUUCUUCUGUUGGAAACGCACCGCCUCAAGCUUAGCCUACUUAUGCUUUUUGAGCUCGCCCACUUCUGCCUAUUGACCGCUAUGGUUACUACUCAGCUCUUCCCGAGACAACUUCUUGCCGUGAGGUUAUUCAUCCCAAAAGGCUGCAUGUGAUGGCAUCAUAGCUUGGUGCUCUUGCCUGCAUCGGCACGUGGAAUCUCAUUUCCCUUCCUCCUCGUUCUCGUCUCAUCACUUGUAAGUGGGUCUACAAGGCUAAGACUGAUGAUACUCUUGAGCAUAACAAAGCUUGUUUACUGGUGAGAACAUGGUCAUGACUACAAAGAGACAAUUUCUCCUAUAUAUAUGGCCCACAUGACCACUCUUUGCACACUUCUCAAUGUGGCUUUCUAUUCGCCGCUAGUCUGUCUCUCAACUUGAUGUCAAGACAGCCUACAACUAGCCACCACCUCGGUUCUCUUCCUAAUGGCAUGGUUUGUCGUCUUCGUCGCUGUCUAUAUGGCCCUAAGCAAACCCCCCAUGCUUGCUUUGAGCGCUUCAUCUCAGUGGUGAUUGCGGCUAGAUUUUGGCGAGUGCUCAUUAUCCUACACUUUCGGUCACCAUUCACCUCAUGGUCGAACACUUCUUCUACAUGUCGGUCAUCACUGGCGACGACUCUAAGUACAUUGCCUUGGUGAAGGCUCGUGGUCGAACACUUCUACAUGUCGAUCAUCACUGGCACCGGGAUCAUCACUAGCAACGUCGACCUUUGUGACCACCUUCGCUCCCUACCAUUCUUGAUGGGCAUCCUUUGCCUUUCUGCGGAUUGCUACAAGCACUGUCUCAAUCACACAUCUUGUGUUCCCUUUAUGUGUGACACCAUAAUCGCACGCUCGAGCACCACCAAUGGGGAGCGGGAGCUCAGACAGUCAACGCGUACCUGGAUUAUGCACGAGACGGGCCGAGGACAGGCGCUACCAAAAGUAAAGGCCAAGGGCGCACAGUAGGAGAACCCGGGGUGCUUAAUCAAGCACGUGGCACACAACCCGCAAACAGGAAAGGAACACCUAGCUAGAUCGGCGGGGUAUGAAGAGUGCUGAAGUCUUAUCUAUAAGCCUUUUGCUGCCAUGGUUCACACUCAAUUCUCUACGCCUAUUCAUGUGUUCUAUGGUGACUCUGGUGGAGAGUAUAUCUCCAAGCUGUUGCAUGGAAUCCUUGCUGAGCGGACUUUGGUUCUCUUAUCCUGGUGCUCAUGCUCAAAAUGGCGUGGUUGAGCGCAAGCAUCGUCACCUUCUUGAGACAGCUCCUCCAUUGCCGUUCACCGCCUCUAUUUCACCACACUUUUGAGCCGAGUCUGUCUCCACUUCCAUCUAUCUCAUCUUCCUUUAGCAAAGCAAUCCAUUGCUCUGCAGGGUGGCGCUCCUUUCGACCGUCUAUUUGAUUCUUUCCUGAUUAUUUAGGGCUUCAAUUGUUUGGUUGUGUUUGUUAUGUCCUUGCCCACGUGAACGCACCAAACUGACUGCUCAGUGCGUUGAGUGUGUCUUCUUAGGAUAUAACGAUGAGCAUAAGGGAUCAUGUUGGGCGUCGGAUGCCUACUUCUCGGGAUAUGACUUUUGAUGAGUCUCAUCCCUUCUACCCGCGUCAAUCUUCCUCGACCUUUUCAAUGGAGGAGAUCUCUUUUUUUUUAAUCCAACACUAUUGUGACUCCCUUAUCUAUUCAUUGUAAUGCUCCUGCUUCUCCCAUAAUGUAGAUGUUAUGAUUAUAUAUUUGUUUCAAUACAAAAAUGUGUGCAGAAGAUGGCAGUACAUGAUUUUCAUUCAUGUCCACUUGCUGCAUUGCUCCAAGUCAGCCUUUGUGUUUCAUUAGGCACCCUUUUCUUGCAUGCAACGAAAGUGAUAUAUUUCUCCCUUCCCUCUUGCCCCACCACCAUUCUCUUCAUCCACCCUUACUCUAGCAUUGUUGGUGCUAGUCAUGGACUCAUAGCUGUUGUUCCUAAUGGCUACACAUAUUCUUGCACCACUAUAUGCUUCUUGCCACAUCUUGAACGCAUAUAUCGCUCGCAUCAAAUUCUGACCGAAACACCAUGCAAUUAUAGUGCAACUAUCAAACCCAGGCAAAGAAGGCUUAAUGUCAAAGGGUGUAAAAUUGGGCUGGGUUUUUGGGAUGUCUUCUUGACGAACAAAUCUGACAGUAGCCAAAGCGACCACUACAGAACAAUUCAUUUUCACAAUUUCACCCUUCACGUCUGCUCCUCGACUCUAUUUUCACUCUCUUUGUUACAACACAUGACUCUCCAUUAUGACCUGACAACUAAGAAGAGACAUUAAGCGAAACACAUUAACACGAAUGUCAACUCUGCAGACAAAUAUUUAGUUAUACUGGGGCAAUAAUCAAAUUCACCUCCGGCUCCAAACCAAUCAAGGCAUAGGGCAAAAUUUAACAAGGAUACUAAAUAUUACAAGCUACAACACGGGAUCGCUAGUUUCAUCUCGGUCCCAAUAGCCUCCAACACCCAGCCGAAACAGACCGAGCCACCAUCUUCUUUAUCUCCGGUGGCUACAGAAUAGCAAAAGGAUAGAGCGCUAUUGAUUACAUGGCUGUUUCAGUGAACUGCGACAUGAAAAAUGAUGUUAUUUGCUCAUGCUUCCUACCUGCCAACUACGACCAUAUCGUACCCCUGAAAUCACUUAAUGUAGUGGAACUCCUUUUCUGUGACAACUUUGCAAGAAGUCAAAUAUGUAUUCUUCCUCCUCUUUUGUACUCCACCAUCAUGUGUCACCAUCUUCUUCAAAUCCGGUGAACCUUCUAGCGAUUCUCAUAAUCAUCUGCUGAUAGACACCUCAGUGAUACUAUGGCUAAAGAUGUGUGCAUGUCAUUAUAGACAUAUACAUAUCCUCACACUAUGGAAUAGCAUAGAGGUAAACAUCAACACGUUGCAAGGAACAAAGUUUUCUAUCUGAGAGAGAAGCAAACAUAUUUAAGACUGCUCAUAACAAAUGCCAGUAAUUUCCGCGCUUUAAAAUCAACAAUGCGUCAGCGGAUCAUUUAGAAAGUUAUAUGCUCAUUGUAUAGUGUUUCCUACAAAUACACAACAAUUCUUCCAGUAUCAUUGUUAGAGAUGUGCUACUGUUAGUUGACAUAUCAAAUUAAUACCAAGACAUGUAUGGUGCCGCGGGUCCCUACGAUGGUGUGGACGGGCCCCUUUUCCAUGGCGGUACUCUGUAGCCUGCACACUUGGCACCGUCGCCCUCGCGGUUCCGUGCGGAUGACACAUACCCGCCCGUCGUCCACGCCCAGCCACCGUCGAGAUUCUCCAAGCUGGAGUUAGCGACCUACGACGGCACCGACGACCCCCUGAAUUGGCUCAACGAAUGCGACCAAUUUUUCAGGGGGCAGUGCACGCUCGCGUCCGCGCACCUGGAUAGCCUCCUAUCAUAUAUGAGGCGCCGCCCAGACGUGGUAUUACACUCUCGAGCAAGACGAGGGCGGCAUGCCACCAUGGGAGCAUUUCCGCGAUCUGUGCCUCUUGCGCUUCGGUCCGCCUAUACGCGGGAGCCGUCUGACGGAGCUUGGGCACCUUUCGUUCCUCACCACAAUGCAAGACUUCGCCGACCACUUCCAGGAACUAGCAUGCCACGCCCCUGGCGUUUCGGCUCGUCAGCGGGCUGAACUCUUCAUCGACGGCCUACCGGACCACAGCCGCGUGGACGUGGAGAUGCGCGGGCCACAGGACCUCCAGACGGUCAUGUACUAUGCCCGCGCGUUCGAGCGCCGCGCGGUGGCCAUCCAGCAAGCGUCACCGCUCCGGGCCGAGGCCGCCACCCUGGCCGGAAGUUCCCGCGCAAGGUCGGCCUGCUCAGGCUUCUGCGGCGCCCCUCGCUGCGACCGCGGCGCGCCCCUUCCGCCGGCUCACCCCGGCCGAGCAACUCGAGGGUCGCCGCCAAGGGGUUUGCUUCAACUGCGACGAGCCCUAUGUGCACGACCACGUCUGCCCGCGACUCUUCUACCUGGAGGCUGCGAACUACAUUGAGGAGGACACCGCCGCCGCCGGGCUCGGCGACCUGCCCGCCCCAGCUGACGCGGAGGUGUUUGGCGCCCUUUGAUCACCUCAAGGAAUUCUGCAAGCACUUCCCCACCUUCCAGCUCGAGGACGAGCUGUUUGUGCAGGCGGGGAGAGAUGUUAUGGCCGGCAUAUACUAUAGCCCAGGCAGUUAGGGGCCUGGUCCAUUUAUCUUAUUGUUAUUAGGGGCUUAGCCCAGUUAUCAUAUUUGGAGAUUAUAUAAACUCAUGUAAGGACUUGUUUGAGGUCAAGUAGAAGCAAUCAUAUUUGCUCGGCUUCCUGAAGGGAGCCGGGAGACCUAACCCUAGUCGCCGCCUCUUCCGCCCUCUCGCGCGCGCGCGACGGCGCCCCAGCGCCGGCGACCUCGCCUUCCUCCAUGCCAAGCCCCCUUCCACCCCUACAACUUACGAGCUAGACCCGGUAGGAACUCAGCUCCUAUCAUGAGUAAACUCACUAAACUACAAAUAUAAGCACAAAGCAUGUCCAUAUCUCCGUACAAAAGACAUAAUGCAAUACAUAUAUCAGUUUGGAUACACAUGCUUCAGUCAACUUGAUCAUGACUAACUCAGUGGUCAUUUCAUCCUACAAUUCAGCAUGGCCGGAAGUGCACUCUUUUUAAAUUAUGUCAGCUCUCGCGGAAAAGGAAAAAUCACUAUGAACUUUUUUUCCUAGCAUUUUUUCAAAAAAAAGAGAGCUGGAUUUCAUCAAUGGUCGUGAUUCUUCUCAGGAUUAUGGGACAUAUUGGACAGACAAGCUUCACAUGGUAAAAAGCUCACAGAAAAGGGUAUUAACAUUUGUAUGUUUGUGAAAACCGAUUCAGAUUGCUAAUUAUAAUGUGAACCUUUCGUGAAGAAAUGUGAUCAGCACUUCAUGAGCUGCAGCUAAAUCAUGUAUGGUGUUUUGUGUCCUUCAUAAAUCAGUCUAUAAUUCUACCCAGUAAAUUUUAACACCAUUUGGUAGAUCAUGCAGGAGAAAAAUUGCAAGUGUACAGUAAAGUUAGGCCAUAAUUCUGCCCAGUAAAGUUAGGCCAGAAUUCUGCCCAGUAAAGUAAGGCCAUAAUUUUGCACAACAGUGCAGUAUUACUAAAGAAUAAGGUACAUUAUGCUAGGUAUGUGCCUCUUUAGUUGUCUCUUUCUGCUUUGUUAUGUGUUUUCUGUUUAGAACAGCAGGUAUGCCCAUUGAGAAAAACAUGUAGCAAGCUUCCAAUCUACCACCAAGCAUCACAUUUAAUUGGCACAUUAAAAUUCUUUGGAGCUAUACCAAGGAUAAUCACGUCUCUGUCUAGCGUCUACCCAGUUUCAGUAAAUUAAAACAGGAUGAUUGUUACGGUCUUGUAUGUUGUCACCUGGACCAAAUCCCAUCAUGUUUAUGUAUGGAGGACGAUGCAAAAAAUGCAGGAGAGAGAAACACAAGUUAUAUUUGAGUAGCAGUGUUAUAAAAAUUUGCUCAGGAGAGAGAAACAAAUAAAUCUAAUUUUGGCAAUCCAGUACAGACAAUAUUUAUGGGUAAUUACUAAUUUCAUGUCCCAUAUGUAUUAUAUCGCGUAGUAUGAAGAAACAAAGUCAAGCACUUACGAGAGCCUUUGGUGGAGUGAAAUUUUGAGUGGGAGUCUGUAUUAUUACAGUUUUGUACCGUCCAAAUGACAGCCCCGUAAAUCAGCUCCAGCCGACGCACCUUUGCUUCCAUAGCUCAUGCAUAACCACAUACCCGGGGAUUCAAAUCAACCUACAAGAAUAUUAAUCCAUUAGAACUUCAUGCAGAAUAAGAAGAAAAUUAGUCAGAUCCAAGAUGACAGCAGACCGAAUUGGUUAGGAUGUGUGUCAAUGCUUGGUGGCUUCGCCCGCCAUCACCGAGCUAUCAAAAUCACAAAGAGGAAAAUAUGUACUGGCUACUGCUCGCAUUUCACAAACACAUCAUAUUACAAUCACAUGCCUCAUUUGGAGGCCAUAUAAUAAUCAUACAUCAUUUUUGUAUCAAUAGAAAAGAAGACAUAUACUUUUCACCAUGUACACUGUGACCGUAAAAUAUAGAAUAUUUCAUGUACUGAACCGUGAGUACAAGGGUUGGAUCAUGAGUUAUCUAAAGAGAGGAAAAGAUUUUGUACAUGCAAGUAACUCAAAACGCCCAUGAAAGUAAACCAGAUCAGCACAAAAACAGAACCAAAUCAAGCAUAGAUGCAAGAGAGAAAGGGAUUUCAUCCUACCACCAGAUCGGAGGAAGUCGAUCCGUCGCCUCUCAGUCGAGGACGGCGCGCCAGUGGAGGUGAAAGCCGCCGCCUGGCAGAUCAGCAGCCUUCCGUCCAAGUCGGCCCACGCGGAAGGGGACAACUACGGCGAGCCGGCUCGUCGUUGGUGGCACACAAGCGAAGAUCGCGUCGCGUAACCGAACCCAGUAGCAGCAUGCACUGCCGGUGCCGCAAUGGCACGGGGAGCAGGUGUGCGGAGGAGCUCGCACCAUAUCAAGGAGAACGGAGAGUGGGAGAGCAGAUCGGUGUGUCAGCAUGAGAGCAGAUCGGCGGCUGUGGCUGGGAAGAAGUACAGGGUGGGAGAGACGGACGUGGUGUGCGUGGGCUUCGGGUGGAUAUAUAGAUCAUGGGCAAAAGCGCUUAUUGAACGCGAAAAAAGUAGGGUCGAUCGUGUGCUGGUUUUGCCGCGUAGAUCGUGCGACGAGAGGUCAAACCAUUGUUUUUUUUCUUUGCCCAUGCUGUGUGUAGACCGUACGAGGUGGGGAGGAAGGUGUUGAUUGAACCGCUUGGUUCCCUUGUUUACUUGUCUCUGGUUUUAAAGGGUCAGCUGUGUGCUGGUUUUUAGAGGGAUUGAAAAAAAUCGGUGGCAUAACGUGGGCGGGAAAGCUAGCGAUAGGAGGGGCUAGAUGGAGGUCGAACCAUCACGACGUUCGAUCCUUCUUUAAUAGUAGAGAUAUAUAUGGCCCACUUGACCACUCUUCCCACACUUCUCAAUGUGGCUUCUAUUCGCCGCUAGUCUGUCUCUCACCUUGAUGUCAAGAAUGCCUACAACUAGCCACCACCUCGGUUCUCUUCCUAAUGGCAUGGUUUGUCGUCUUCGUCGCUGUCUAUAUGGCCCUAAGCAAAACCCUCAUGCCUGCUUUGAGCGCUUCGUCUCAGUGGUGAUUGCGGCUAGUUUUUGGCGAGUGCUCAUUAUCCUACACUUUCGGUCCACCAUUCAACUCGUGGUCGAACACUUCUUCUACAUGUCGAUCAUCACUGGCAACGACUCUAAGUACAUUGCCUUGGUGAAGGCUCGUGGUCGAACACUUGUACAUGUCGAUCAUCACUGGCACCAGGAUCAUCACUAGCAACGUCCACCUUUGUGACCACCUUCGCUCCCUACCAGCCUUGAUGGGCAUCCUUUGCCUUUCUGCGGGUUGCUACAAGCACUGUCUCAAUCCCACAUCCCGUGUUCCCUUUAUGUGUGACACCAUAACCGCACGCUCAAGCACAACCAAUGGUGAGCAGGAGCUCAGACAGUCGACGCGUACCUGGAUUAUGCACGAGACGAGCCGAGGACAGGCGCUACCAAAAGUCAAGGCCAAGGGCGCACAGUAGGAGAACCCAGGGUGCUUAAUCAAGCACGUGGCACAUGACCCGCAAACAGGAAAGGAACACCUAGCCAGAUCAGCGGGGUACGAAGAGUGCACAGGCAAGUGGGAUGCCGGAUCAAGUCCCUCUACUGCGAGUGCCGCUAGUCUCUGCCUCUGUUGGCCUAUCUACCAGAUAUUUUCAAGAGUGGCAUCAUCACCUUGGGUCACUUGUGAUCUCUCAUCCUUAGUUUGACACGAUCUUCUUGGAUCCGUCUCCGAUGAUAUCUCUAAUACAUGGUCCAGUUACCUUAUACUCAUGGCGAGACAGUGUCUCAGCAUCCUUUAGACUUUGUUACUUUGAUCUCGAGGGAUCAUCUCCCUUUGCCUCCGCUAAUGACUUCUCUCAACACACCUGGAUAUACUUUAUUUCUUAUCGUAGUAAGGUCUAAUCUAUAAGCCUUUUGCUGCCAUGGUCCACACUCAAUUCUCUACGCCUGUUCAUGUGUUCUAUGGUAACUCUAGUGGAGAGUAUCUCCAAGCUGUUGUCUGGAAUCCUUCCUGGGCAUACUUUGGUUCUCUUAUUCCAGUACUCAUGCUCAAAAUGGUGUGGCUGAGCGCAAGCAUCGUCACCUUCUUGAGACGGCUCCUCCAUUGCCACCUCUCUUUCACUGCACUUUUGGGCCGAGUCUGUCUCCACUUCCAUCUAUCUCAACAACCUUCAGCAAUCCACUGCUCUGCAGGGUGAUGCUUCUUUCGAUCGUCUAUUUGAUCGGUUAUUCGGCGCUUCAAUUUUUUGUUUGUGAUUGCUAGGUCCUUCUUGCCCCUCGUGAACGCACCAAACUGACUUCUCAGUCUGUUGAGUGUGUCUUCUUAAGAUACAAUGAUAAGCAUAAGGAAUAUCGUUGUUGGGAUCAUGUUGGUCAUCGGAUGCCUAUUUCUUCGGAUAUGACCCACGUCCAUCUUCUUUGGCCUUUUAAGUGGAGUAUAUCUCUUCCCACAAUUUUCCUGACACUCCUACCACUCCUAUUGAGCCAUGAUCCAGUAGUUGUACUGCUUAUGCUUCUCCGAUUAUUUCACAUGAUUCUACACCUUCAUCACCGGUGGCUUCCUUGUCUCCAUCACCUCAGUUUAUCCCCCGUUGAUUCCAGCUCGUAUUCUUCCAUUUUUUCCCUAACUUCUAUAUGGGUCGUCUGCAUGUUGUCGAUGCGUCUACUGAUGUGCCAUCUUCCCCGUCUCAACCUACUUAUGGCUUGCAUCCUCGUCCGCUUCGGCCUAUUGACCGACUUGGUCUUCCAAGCGUUGGCGUUGCUGUUCUUGAGCCGACUUCUUGUUGUGAUGUUGUUCAUACCAAAUGGCACCUUGUGAUGGCACAGGAGGUUGCUGCUCUUGAGUGCAUCAACACGUGGGAUAUUGUUUUUGUUCCUCCUCGUGAUCGUCCCAUCACUUGGUGGGACUACAAGGUUAGGACUCACUCUGAUGGUUCUCUUGAGCAUUAGAAAAACUUGUCUUGUGGGCCAUGGCUUUCAGCAGGAGCAUGGUCCUGAUUACGAUGAGACUUUUGCUCCUGCAAAACCGUAUGCUUGUGGCCUCUGUUCGCCACUGGUUCGUGUAUAGGCUUGAUGUUAAGAAUGCCUUUCUUAAUACUGAGUUGCGUGAGGAGGUUUACAUACAACCACCACCUAGGUAUUCUACUCCUUAAGACAUGCUUAGUCGUCUUCAUCGCUCUCUAUGGCUUUAAGCAAGCAUCUCGUGCCUAGUUUGAGCGUUUUGCCUCUAUGGUGGAUGUUGCUGGUUUUCAGCGAGUGCUCAAGAUCCGACGUUGUUUACCCUCCUUUCUGCUCUUGGUAGGACUCUUUUUCAUGUUGAUGACAUGAUCAUCACUGACGCAAACCGUGAGUAUAUUGCCUUUGUGAAGGCAUGUUAUGCAGUUUCUUAUGUCUUAUCUUGGCUCUCUCUGCUACUUUCUUGGGAUUGAGGUCCCUUCUUGCUCAAAAAUAAUAAUCCAGGAUCUUACUCGUGCUGCUCUUACCGAUGAGCGCACUGUUGAGACUCCCAUGGAACUCAAUGUUCACCUCCCUUCUACUGAUGUUGAUUCAUUGUCUAAUCUAACACUUUAUCGACAUUUUGUUGGGAGUCUUUUCUAUCUGCCUGACACUCGCCCAGAAGAAGAAAUAGACUGCAGUGCCCGCCGUUCGAGUGCACCUCUUCCCGCAGCAUCGUCGCUCCACUUUCCUACUCUACCCUCCACUAUAUGUGCUACUGAUGUUGAUCCAUUGUCUAAUCUGACGCUUUAUCGACAUUUUGUUGGGAGUCUUGUCUAUCUGCCUAACACUCGCCCGGAAGAAGACACCUCUUCCCGCAGCGCCGUAACACCACUUUCCUACUCUACCCUCCACUAUAUGCUCUGCGGCAUUGUCGUCGUGGCCAGGAUGGUGGCAAAAUCACUAGCACCGAUGCCUCUCACAUGAUGUUGCUAGAGCCUUCGUCCUCUCAAGUGGCAUGAACGGCCGAAUGGGAUAAUGCCACCAUGGAUGUUGGCAUUCCCUCUGUUGGAUUGUGAAGUGUUUGGGAGUGAGACUAAGAGAAAUAUGGGAAAGGAGAUGAUGCCUAGCGUAUUAGCGAAAUGAGACCUAAACAGACUUGUUGAGAUGGGUUAUAGGCCCGCUACCAAAAUGGUUAGUGUAUUCUUCUCCAAAGUGGGACACGCGUUUGAUGCAGACACGACCGAGUGGGAUAUAAUCAUACUCUAUCAAGCCCAAAUGAUAAUCUUCUUUUCUUACCCUGCUUCCAAAUAAUAAUGACCCAAACACUAAACACAACAUUGACCAUAAUUCUUUAUACUCCCUCCGUCCCAAAAUUCUUGUCUUAGAUUUAUCUACAUACAGAUGUAUCUAGUCACAUUUUAGUGUUAGAUACAUCCGUAUCUAGACAAAUCUACGACAAGAAUUUUAGGACAGAGGGGGUACAUCACACCAUAUCCUUAGAAUCUACUAACAUCCAAGGAAAAUUUGAAAAAAAAGAGUUUGCGAAUUAAAUAAAUGUUCACAAAUUCAAAAAAUAUGUUUGCGAUUCAGAAAAUGUUUGCCAAUUCCAGAAAUGUAGCUUUGACCAUAAUUAUUUAUACAUCACACCAUAUUUUUUAGAAUCUACUAACAUGAAAGCCGAUACAAAAAGAAUAAAUAUACGCAUGUAAUUUACAUGUACCAUUAUAAUUAUAUUGUUUUAGAAAUUCUAGGUAGGUUUGUCUAGAUGUCUAGACCCAUGUCUAUACUGUACAACACCUUCUAUACUCUACAACAAUGUAUGUUUGGUGUGGGUUAAUUUAUCACCGUCGUCUUGACGGUAAUCUUUAUUCCCAACCUAGGGGUGUGCAUUACACGACGGGAAAAAAAUCUCUGAACUUCGCCAAUAAGUAACUCAAAUAAACAGUUGUGUAUGUGAUUUCAAAAGAAAGAUAUAAAUGGCAAGGUGUUUAACAAAUCUGCAUGCAUGUUGUAUCGUGCUUAUUGAGUGAACAAAACAAAUAUCAGGAUAGAAACUAAGAAACAGAAUGCAUACCACCAGGAACACAGCCACCACUAGCUCUGUCGCAGAAUAGUUUGUGAUAAAAGCCCGCCAUGCUAACUCAGCAGCUUCCUCAACUGACAUGUUGAAU
rnacentral:lncRNA from 1 species